CUGAAGAAAAUCUUCCAUGCCGCCAAUGAUUCUCAGGUGGCAAAGAUUAUCGGCGAUGCUCUCAGUGAAUGUGAAAGAGCACCGAGCGCCGGCGAGACGAAACGGUGUGCUAAGUCAGCUGAAGAUAUGAUUGAUUUCGCAACAUCAGUAUUGGGUCGAAAUGUGGUGGUUCGAACGACUGAGAAUACAAAAGGAUCAAAUGGGAAUAUCAUGAUAGGAGCAGUCAAAGGAAUCAACGGUGGAAAAGUUACAAAAUCAGUAUCAUGUCACCAGACCUUGUUCCCUUACUUACUGUAUUACUGUCAUUCGGUUCCUAAAGUCCGGGUCUAUGAAGCGGAUAUUUUGGACCCGAAUUCAAAGGCUAAUAUCAAUCACGGUGUUGCCAUUUGCCACGUGGAUACUUCUUUAUGGGGACCCAAGCACGGAGCCUUCAUUGCACUCGGGUCGGGACCCGGGAAAAUAGAGGUUUGUCACUGGAUCUUUGAGAAUGACAUGACUUGGGCAACUGCAGAUUGAGCCAAGGAGUAAAACUUGGUUUUAAUAAAUAUUCAAAGUUUCUAUUGUUCUCUCUAUAUUUGGGCAAAGUAAUGUAGCCCCUAUGUUCACUUUUAUUCAUCCACAAAGGAUUUUGCACUCUUUGUAAGAAAUAAAUAAAAUAAAUAAGAUGCAUAUUUUAAUUAUUAUAAUAUACAUAAUCGAGGGUCCCUCUUAUAGUAAUGUUGUCGAUUCUCAAAAUCCUAAUGAUGUUAAUGCUACUCCUGAGUAUGAUAAUUGAUUAUUCUUAUGCUUUCUGAUGAUGCCAUGCUUGAUGAAACACUCCUUCACCAUGGAAGUGAAUGAGGAUUUCCCUGGCAACAAUAUGUAGUUGUGAAAAUUAAUCUAAAGUAUUUUAUCGUGAUUUUGACUUCAAAACUUUCACAUUAUACAAAACGUCAAAAUCUAAAGUAAGAACCCUAUUCCUCUUCAUUUUCUCUCUAUUUCCACUUAAUUUUCUCUCUGUAGUGCACUUAUAUAGUUCUUUUCAUGUUAGUUAUUAGUAUUUGUUUUAUAAGCAUUUUCUUAUUGGUUAAAAUAACUGAAAACCGAACUAUUAAUUGAACAUUUGAACUUCUUAAUUAAUUAAAAUUCUUGGAGUACUAUGACAUAUUACAUGUAUUUUUGCUGAUAAUAAGGAAUUAGAGUCCAACGAACAUGGAAAUAGAUUGUCUUUGUAUAAGCAAAGAUGCAGAGUACCGUUAUCGAAUUCAUUAAAACCAUUACUUUUUUAUGUGAUACAUAUACUUAUGUAAAAAACCCACAAAAUUACAAUAAAUAGUAGAUAUAUAUACACUCUACUUAAAAUAUAAUAAAUUCAAUACUAAAAACUUUUAAUAUUAAACCCGUUUAUAUAACUUAAAUCCUGAAUCUACCCAUAGCAUGUUGUAUCGAAAUGGAAAAAUCAAGAAAGAGCGUAAGAAAGUGCAAAAAUAAUACUCCUAAUAAAAGGGAAAUAAAUAAUGAUGGAGACCCUUAAAUGCCAAAGAGAAAUAAAAAACAAUGAAAAAUGUGUUUUCUGCCAAUUUCAGCAAAACACAUUAUUUUCCUACAUAAAUAAUAAAUACACUUCAUAUUUAUUUUUAGAAUUUAAUACAUAAAUAAUAAAUACACUUCAUAUUAAUUAGAUAUAUAUAAACAAGAAAAGAGUCUGGUUGCCAAAGUCCAAUACAAAUCCAAAACGAAAAAAAAUAUAUGUGGAUUUCUAUUUUCUAAUAACUCAUUUCUUCAUUUUCUUCAAUAUUGUCUCAUCAACAUAAGUUUUCUUGAGAUUAGUAUUCAUGUUUAAAUUUUCAAAUAAUAGACUUAUCAUUUAUAAAUUCUAAAAAGGUAUUUCUAUCAUAUCAUUUGAAAUAGUACUGUAGGAAAAAUAAUUAAUAUAUCAGCUUUCAAUAAAAAAGAUCAUAUCUUGAGUUUAAUGUUUUAUUGGCGUCGUAAAAAACAUAAUUAUGUGCUAUUAUUUGAUUGAUAAAAGUGUUACGACUCAAUCCACUAGGUCGUGCGGGCACCCACUCUAACAUCUAAGUAGGAGAACCCUCAUAUCCCAAUAGUAAAAACAUGUGGAAAUUUUAAGAAAACAUGAAUAAAUAUGACACUAUGAUUUUAUAAAUAACGCCUUUAGACACACUAUUAGAUAAACUUGUAAGGUAAUUUAAACCACUCCCAAUGGAUCUAGUCUAAACAGGUACAAGAGCUACUAAAAGAACAACUGGACAAGAUAAAUAAAAGACACAGCUCCCACCAUGCAGAAGGAAGAAUAGAAGCUGUUGGAGAUUUUCUUCGUCUUCACCUAAUGAAACGUCACCAAUCCUGCAUCCAGACUAUGUCAAAAGACAUAGCAAGAGUAGUAUCAGUACAAAACACACGUAUUGGUAGGCAUCAUCGGUCAACCCAACGCCCACCACAUAACAUAAGAAACCAACUAGUAAGAUCAUGGAAUAAACCACUCGCUUCUCCACCUUCACCCCUUUCAUUGAAAUACCUCCAAUCACACUAGUCAUUCUAACUACUAACCCCUUUUUAAUCAACCCACUUACCAGAUUUUUGAUCAUAGCUUAACCAUUCUAAACACAUAAGAAAUUUCCCAAGUACAAACACCACCCAUAUCAACUAACCGUACACGUCCUCCCUUACUUCCUCGUCACAUUACCAACCAUAAUCACUUAAUACAAUGAUUCAAGCUUCUUAACACUAACUCAAUUUCCUUCCCCCCAAGGUGAAAUCCAUCCAGCAAUUUCCUCCACAAACACUAUCUCUACUCUCGCCAUUACAACCCACGACAACCCACUAUAAAUCGUCAUACACGGGUCCACUAAGUACAACAUAAACAAACCAAUACAAUACUUUACUCACAAACGUAUAUCAAGCAUAUACAAUAUUGUCAACAAGUAUAUAUACACAAACAACGAAUAACUCACUUUUAUAUCAUAUCAUUGGUCCUCUCAUGGAACCCAAACUUAAACAGUUAGCAUGCCGGAACGUGGCAAUCGAUCCCAAGUUAGUGUGCCGGAACGUGGUAGCAGAUCCCAUGUUUAUGUCGGAACAUGGCAAUUCGAUCCCAUAUUGUGCCGGAAUGUGGCAAUUCGAUCCAAGUUAGUUAUGCCGGAACGUGGCAAUCCGAUCCCAUUCACACACCACAAUCACAAACACAAGUACAUCAUCAAGAUCAUACAUUUAAGUCAUGAUUUCAUGGUAAUGAUAUUCAUCUAUCUCAUUUACAACAAGUGUGAUCGACAUUGCAACAUUCAUACAUACACAAGUAUCAUAAUGAAGCAAGAACAAACAUACAUCACAUAACAUAGAAUCACAACCAUCACCUAUGAAUUACUUCUCAAUCCCUAUUGCAUAUGUAAUAAUUGACCAUACUCCGCCCUAGUUCAUCGAUAGGAUUUCUCAUUAGGUUUUAAUCCCCAUUCAUCAUAAUUCCUCAAUUUCGUCACUUCAAUUAUCAGAUGUAGCAUACAUUCAUAAAUCUAGUUCCACUCUUGAUUUCAUGUCCUCAUUCUCGACCCAAUUCUAUCCAUGAUGGCAAUUCUAGGUUUUUCUAACCGCUCAUCAAUUCCUCCUCACAAAGCAUAAACCCACAUACUUUGAAUCCUAAGGAUUAUUCAUGUAAUUUGCUCGGUGCACGAAGGCCUACACACAACCCUACCAUUGAUUUACAUAUAUCACGUAGUAAGCACAUAUUUAAAACUACUCAAUUGUAAAAACCUAGCUACCUGGGCGCCAAGCAGUUGUACGGAGUUUUUGACUUUGGUUCGAGUUUUUCCGGGUUCGUGACGGUGAAUUUAGUUAAGAAUUCAUAAGAUUUCGCCAUCCCCACGCUAGAAAUCUCCUUCUCCUUCCUUCCCAAGCUUAGAGCAGCUUUUCUGAGAUUUCUAGGGUAUUUUACGACUCAUUUAGGUAUUUUAAGGAGAUGGAGGAAAUAGAAUUUCUCAUAAUUUACGUUCUGCCUCGCUUAUCCCGCUCUGGCGCCAACUUACCCUGCCCUAGCGGCGGCGCCCCAGCGGCACCUGGCCCGCCCUGGCGGGUCAGUGGCCCAGAUUUUCUCGAAUCUUUGCUUUUCCUAAUUAACGACGGUUCGGAUCGUUACAAAAAGAUAUGUACAUUUUCUCUUCUUCAAAUCUUUUCCAUCAGAAAUUUCUCUUUGUGAGAUAUUCUUUGCCUAUGUUUAGAAAAAUGUGAAAACUACUAUUUUCAUUUUUAAUAAAUAAAUAAACUAUCAAUGGAGAUGUGGGCUAGUGAAAGUAAUGGCGGUUUGAAAGUCUUAUUCCAUAUUUGAUACACAUUCAAACAAAAGACUAUUGUUCAUUAAAUUUAAAAUCACCUUAUUUUUACUUUUUAAAAUUUUUCAAAUUUAAAAUAUCUAUUCAUUUUCUGCUACUUGGCUAAAAUUAGUUGUCCUAAAUUAAUUUUUUCUUAAUUUCAUUUUUAAAUAUAUAGAUUUUUUUUAAAAAACAUUUGAAAUUGAAAAAGAUAGUACUAUCUUAUCUCUAUAAAUGAAUGCAGUUAACUUCGAAAUAUUGCAUAGGAUACAAGGAAAAGAAUGUUUAUUAUUCAUAAUUGAUGAAAAGUUUAUUUGUUAAAGUAAAGUUAAAAAAAAUAAUUCAUCCAAAUUUUAAAUAUUAUAAUGAAGAAUCUAAUACCUUUUAUUCUAAUAUAGUUUGAAGUAUUAUCAUUGUUUCUCAAGAUCCAAAAUAUUUUUCCGUAUAAUUAUUUUUCGAAAAAUGAAAAUAAAUCAACUAACAAACUAAAUCUUAUGCUUAGCCUCUUUCUCUUUUUUGCUAGUACUAAAAAAAUAAUAAUUAACUACUAUAAUUUAGAUUGAUCACAAUAAAAAAAUAUUGAACUUUUGUAAUAAAAGUUUACUAAGGAAUCAAACAACUAGAACAACACUAUUUAUUGGAUUUAAAAAUAAAAAGGAAUGAUCAAAAUAAAAAUUAUACUACUAAACCAACAGAGAGAACAGUUAAAAAUAACUAUGCCAAAAAAACAUACUUUAAUAUACAUGUUUUUAGCUAAAGAGGGUGCAAAGUUGGAAUCGCUGAACUCCUUUUGUUAUGAACAAUUCCGCCAUUGUUUGUCGUCGAGAAACUAGAAGCAGAAAAAGUCGGAAUUUCUUUUGUUAGGCAUACUAACCCAAAUAGUAAUAGUAUAUAGUAUUGUAAUCUACAAUUAACGUCCCUCCUAACAUUAGCAGUGGUACUACUUUGCCACUUUAUUGUAAUGAUGUUUUUGUACCAAAAAAAUAAUAAUAGUGAUGUUUGAUUUUUAGUAAAUAUAACUUUAAAAAAUAUAAAUAUAUUUGUUUAUAAAGAGUGUAAAAUGGAUAAAAAGAAUUUUGCCUUUCACCGACACUAGCUAGAAAUAUAUUAUAUUUUUGUUAUUUUGAUCUCACCAUCAACAUAACUAUUUUUUACAUUUAUUUGUUUUUGUUUUCAUCGUUACAUGUGCUUUUAAUUUCCUAAUAAUUAAUAAUGGAAAAGAGGUGGAGGCACAGUCAACAUCGAACUCAAUAAGCUCCCACCAAUAGACAGUAAAGGAAUUAGGGUCCUACGAUCAUUUUGGAGUGUUUUAUCAAUUAAAUUAAAAAAAAAAAACAUGUUAUUUAGAGAUAUUGUUAUAUACAAAUAAAUAUAGAAAUAUUUGACCAAAACGAAAAAAAUAUAAAGAAAGAGAGUAAGAAAGAGGUGAAAUGAUAUAUUUGACCAAAGAUCCAUUAAUCUUCUUAUAGUCUGUUUGCCCAGACUUUCAAAUUUACUUAAUUGUAAUUUUUUUUUAAUCAAAAGUGUUUUUUGCAAAAUGUAAAUUUAAAGAAUAUUGAGUUUCCAAUUUUUUUGAAAGUUUAACAAAACAACUACGAAAAUAUUUGCGGAAAACAAUCCCUAGAACCUGAAAGUCAAUUUACCAAAACUCUAAAUUCAACAAGUCUAAGAGAAAAGGGUACAAACCCAAAAUUAAACAUAAGCAACGUCUAAAAACAUGAAUAGUCUAAGUUCGAAAAGAGUGGACUAAACUAAGGAUGAAUCUAUGGCAGCCUGAAAGAACUGACUCACUCUUGAAUCCGGUCUCGAUCAUUGAUCUCCUAGCUGAGGUCUAUCAGUAGCCGCCUGAAGAUGUUAUGUACUCAACAAAGAACGAGCAAGUGCAAUAUCCCUACACAAACCACAGUGUACUGGUAGGAUCACGCGGCUUUCCCGGUAAACGAAACAUAGGCAAGCAAUCACAACAUAGUAAACGCACAUAUACAUAAUACAUAGAUCAGAUAUCAUUUCAUCAUCAACAUACAAUUCCCAAUAUAACGACAAUAUACAUGAAUGUAAUAAUCACAAUGGUCCUCUCAUGAAACCUACACCCGAACUGUUAGUGUGUUGGAACGUGACACCAGAUCCAAUGUAUGUGUCGGAACGUGAUACCAUAUCCAAUAUAUGUGUCGGAACAUGACACCCGAUCCAAUGUAUGUGUCGGAACGUGACACUCGAUCCAAUAUAUGUGUCGGAACGUGACACCCGAUCCAAUCAGCACAACCACAAUCACAAUCACAAUCACACCCAUAAUGAACAUACUCAUAAUCAUACAAUCAAGUAUUAGGUUCAUGACAUGUAAUUGUUCAUAUACAUAUAGUCAUUUGCAUUAGAUUUGAUUUUCAUUCAUUAUUCGCAUACAUGCAUGCAUACAACGAAGCAAUUACUAGCAUAUAUCACACAAACAGGAAAUCAAACCACCACCUACCUCGAAACCAAGCUUGAAUCCUCCUAAGACACUUGAGUCUUCCCUUUUCGGAUUCUUUCCGCUUGUUCUUGGUCUAAACAUAAGUAAAUUAUGCAAGGAUCAAUAAUUAAGGUCUAAUUUACCCGGAUUAUGACAACCCAAUAACCCAAGACCAAACUCAUGAUCCUAAUGUGCAGCUAGGGCUUUUUCCACCAUCAACUUCAAGCCAAACCCCCCCCCCCCCUCCUAUGAUAUUUACCCAAGAAUCUAUGUUCUACGGAUCGAAAAACGAAUUAGAGGAGUAAUAAUCUUACAUUUUGCGCUAGAAGUCAUGGGAAUCUGUCAAGAAAUAGCCCUGGGUCAUCUCUUAGCUCUCAAGAAUGAAAGUUUGCACAAAAUAACGAAUUUGGGAUUUUUCCCGAUUUAAGUCGCGACUGUCCCGCUAUAGCGGUCUCGCCUUGGCGUGAUUAAUCCCGCUCUGGCAGCUUGCACGGAGAUAGAGCGUUGGAAUUUGAGUUCUAAGCUCCCAUUUCGGAACACACCUUCAACCCUUGACGUUCAAAAACUACCAUUUCACACCAAGAUCAGUUUCAGGAGUUCUACUCUCCCGAAUUCAAUUCCGUCAAGUCGUACGGGUUCCUUAACGUCUUAGCUAACUACUCAUGUGAUCAAAUUCAUAAUUAGAUCCCCCAUUCAUUACCAGAUUUCCCUAUACUUCACUUGGCUCAGAUUCCGUCCAAGUCUGGCCUAGGCUAGAAAUUUCCAAGUCACUACUCAAAAGUUUUCUGGCCCAAAUUUCUUUCCCCAUUGGCUUUCCAUAACAACGGGAACGGGUAGUUACAAAAAAUAAAAAAAAUUGAAGUUGAAAAAUAUUUUUAAAAAAUAAGCUUUAAAUUUAUUUUUUCAACAAAAAAAUUGUAAUUUGAAGUUGGAGGAGUGUUUUGGAAAAUGUUUUCCUUAUUUUUUUUGUAGGGAAGUCAUUUUCCUUAAAUUUUGAGGAAAAUGAGUUGAUUUGGAAAACAUUUUAUCCAUCCAAAUGUGAGAAAAUUGGAAAAUAUUUUUUGGAAAAUGUUUUCCUUCAUACCCUAAUGAAAUGAUUUAUAUUCACACAACUAUUAAAAUUUGCUUUGCAUUACAAGUUUGAAAAGUCUACCAUUUUUCUUAGGUUUUAUGUCAAGUCAAACGAUGUCACAUAAAUGAAAACAAAUAAAGUAAAAAUUACAUUCUGGAUUGGCUUGUGUUAGUAAUUUGAAUCAUUGCCCUGGCUAUGUAGAAUUUCAUGUUACAUUUGCUUUCCUAAAUUGUGACACAAGGCAACAGUGAAAGAAAUUGUUUUCAUGUCAGCCAUACAUAUUUUGUUCUCUUUUAGUUAGUUUCUUGUGAUUCCUUGGGGCAUUUCCCUCGUCUUCUAUUUGAAAUUGUUUGAUGAAGAGAAUGACAUUUUAUUUGUGAGAAUGGAAUUUUCUUGUGCAAAUGUGCGAUUUAAAAGCAGGCACGUUAUAGUAUUUCUAUUUUUAUUUAUUUUAUACUAUAUAGAAAAAUCAAGUAUGGACAACCAAGGGGAUAAUUGUAAUUUCACAGCUAAUAUUGUGGCCAGAUAAUUUGAAAAGCCAAGCCAAGUAUAGACAACCAAGGGCAUAAUGGUAAUUUUAUAGCUAACAUUGUGGCCAGAUAUUUUGACUUUUUUCAUUACCAUUACAAUUCUAGCUAGUUUCUACUAUAUAGAAAAGCCAAGUAUGGACGACCAAGGGCAUAAUUGUAAUUUCACAGCUAACAUUGUAGCUAGAUAUUUUGUAAAGCCAAGCCAAGUAUGGACAACCAAGACCAUAAUGGUAAUUUUAUAGCUAACAUUGUGGCCAUAUAUUUUGACUUUUCUCAAUACCAUUACAAUUCUAGCUAGGUCUAGAAACAUCCCGAAAAUAGUUGUGUGAGGCUUCAAUCAAUUUUUGACACUUGAAUUUGUGGGCCCCAUUUAAAAACCACACAUUCUCUCACCUUCAUUUUUUUAUAUUCCUCCCUUUUCCUCAUAAUAAGUAUUUUACCUCUCUCUUUUUUUAAUAGUCUUAAAUUUUUAUUUUCCAAAAGUCAAAUAAAAAUAUGUAAAUUAGUAGUAAUUCAAAUUUUAGCCUUUUUUCCCGUGAUUGUUAAUAUGAUUAAAAAAUUGAACUCUAUUAUAAUUAUAGUCUUCUUUUCUUGAUUUAUAUAUUUUUUUGGUUGAUUAUUUUUAGACUUUUAACUUAAAUUUCAAUAAUAAGUGCCACACCAAGUACAAAAUAUUUCUAAAAAUAAUAAUUGAAGAACAAGUGAGUUUAGAAUACUUACAGGUAUGCUCUCACUUACUCAUUGGUGAGCUUUUUUUGGUAUAGUUUUUUUUUAAAAAAAUUAGUUCUGAUUGAUGACAGUUGAAUUAACUAAUAAUGAAUAAUUAAAGGACUAAAAAUAAGUCAACGCACACGAUUUAUUUUUACUUUGAAACCAAAACUGAUUAUGUCAAUUUUUUUUUUUUAAAAAAAUUGAAGAAAAAGAAAUAUUCAAUUUGACUAAAUUUUAUUACUUCGAUUUUCGAUAUUCAGUGAAUACUUCUUAAUACAAAUAUAAAGUGUGUGUGAAUUUUUCAUUCAAAAUAUAUCUUUUAAAGGUAUCCUAGGGAUUUGAUUUAGUUUUUUGAGAUGUAAAGUGAAAAUUUUCAAAGAUUAUUUUUUCUAGGGCUACGAGGAAUAAUUAUAUUUCAGUUGAAUUGGUUGGGAGGUGGCAAUUUUUUAAAUUGAUUUAGUUGAGAGACAUAAAUGAUUAAUGGGAAAGAAAAAGUUAAUCAAGUUACUAAUUAAUAAAGAGCACAAAUUUUUUUUAAAAAAAAACGGUGAAAAAGAGAGGAAUAUUGAGAGGAUCUAAAAUAUUUUGGAGGGAAAAGAGGGGAAUUUGGGAAAAAAUGAAGGUGAGAGAGUGUGUGGUGUUAAAAUGGAGUCCACAAAUUUAAGUGUCAAAAAUUGAAUGGAGCCUCACAUAACUAUGGUUGGUUGGGCCUCAACCAUAUUAAAAUUUUUCAAACAUCCCUCUUCUUCAUCAUUGUAACAUUCUUCAUUCUAUAUAAGUAAGUAUGAGUCUCCCGAUACGACGAAGAAAAUUUUCGGUAAAUGGUUGCUGCUUAUUUAUCUCUUUGUACUGUUUUCAGGAAGCAACAAUAUUUGUUCUUUUUCAACAUAAAAGUUACGUUCCAUAUGGAUCUCUUUAUCCCAAAAAAAGAGAAUUUCGAGAUUUACUAAUCAGAAUGAUUUUGCAUAGACAUUAAUUCUUAAAAUGAUUUGGUGUGUUCCUUUUUUCUUUAAAUGAUUUGUUAUCUUGUUUAAUUUAAUUUGGUUAAAUAGCUUCCUUUACUUUGAUACUAUGGCAUUAUUUUCAUCUAUGUAAUGUAAAGUGUAAAAUGUACUUGGCCUUGUGGAAUCUGAAUGCCUGUGUUAUCUAAUAUUCUUGCUUUAUCAGUUGGAAUAUAGUAGUUGCACGAUUUGAUUUUUUCAGGACUUUUAAAAGUCAAAUUUGCUCGAGGUGGAGAAAGUCGAACAUUGCUAUGAAUUUAAGAGGUAAAUUCUGGACGGUUGUAUUCUCUAUACACUUGGUUAUAACGGAAAAUGGUAAUUGUAAAUCUCAGGUACAUAUACUGCUCUUCAGCUGAUGCAUACCUCAGACCUGAGUAUUUACCACACUUUGAAUGAUCUUGGCAUUGGUUACCCGAAAUAAGAAUUAUGUGUAGAUGUAAAGUAGAUGAUGCUAACAUCUAAACUCUUCUUGCGGGAAUCUAUAAUCUCCGGUUGAAUUAUUGUAGGAGCAAUAAUUUGAAUUACGUUUGAUAGUUGUGAAUCUUCUAAGAGUAAAAAUUUGAAUUACAUUUGAUAUAAUAGAAAUUAGAGGGGAAUAAAUCCGUUUAAUUUUGAAUGAUAUGAGGCUCUUGUGCACUUAAUAUACCCUUAUCAUACACAUAGAUCUCAUGUAUAUCUUAAGAAAUGAAGAUAAAGACUCAUUUGAACCAUGUGUUCAUGUGUUAUUUGUCACUACUUAGGAGAAAACGUAACAUUCUUACUACUAUUAUUUCUAGGAAAAUCACAAUUGAUAUAUAGUUUGUAACCUUGCUAGUUAUAAUUUCAGAAGACAUAGAAUAUAUACAUAGAUCUAGCCUAAGUGUUGUCCCAUUGUCUUCCACUGCAGGUGUCUUUGUAAUCUUGAGCAAAGAUGGUUGCGCCAAGUUCAAGAAUUGCACCAUGGUAAACAAGAAGAAUCCGUAGAAUUAUGACUAAAGUGUUGUAGGAAUACACCCGACAAUAACAUUCUACGGACUACUUCAAUUGGCAUGGCAACACAUCUCGGUCCACAUUUAUCCAAGAUUCCAGAUAGAAAUAGUUUCGUAUCAAGGCGGUUAUGCAUUUAGUUUUUAACUUUCCACUUUUUGUAAAUAAGUUUGUAAUUAGACAAAAUACAUAAUUACCCCAUUAAACUUAUACCUAUUUUUCAAAUAGACACCUAAAAUUUGCCAGAGUCCUAUUACCCAACAAAACCAUUUUUCAACUAUUAUAAAUAUCUCAUUUUGACAACGUUGUUAAUCUCAAACCUUGAGCGUGUGUUCAAUCUCAAAUAAAAUAAUAUUAUUUUAUUUUAUUGCUAUCCAUUAAUAAAGAAUCGGGUAAUUCACAUAUUAACCCUCAAAUCUAAUCGGACCACCCAUUUCACUCUCCCCUCUCUCCUUCUUUUCACUCAAACUACUGUGCAACGUUUUCUUCUUUUACGAACUCCACCAUGAACAAGAAACAAUCAAUUGCAAAUUAUAGAAAAUCAAUGAAUAAAGUUGAUGUUUGGAUUAUCAAUUGGUCAUGGGUGUUGAUUCGAAAAGCUUAUUCAACACAUUUUGUAUCUAUUUUUGGAUUAUCAAUUGCUCAUAGGUAUUGAUUCAAAAAGCUUAUUCAACACAUUAUAUUUAAUCAUAUACUGCAAAAUGGUCACUCUCUAAUGGAGUCAAUUUUGUUUAUAUCUUUAGAAAUUUUGACGUCAACAAAGAUGAUAUAUAGCUACGAAAUUAUUAGCUACGACAUAAAAUUUGUCACUAAAUGUUCACUUUUAGUGACAAAAAUUACUUUCUGUGGUUAAAUAUAUGAGACAUAUAUAUUUAGUGACGAAACAUAAAAGUUCGUAGCAAAGUUUUGUCCACUAAAAUUUCCCACCAAAAAAUAAAUUGGCGCAAUUUAUUGAGUACUAUUAGUCACGAAUUUAAAGUUACCAGUGACACAUUAUUUCGUCACUAAUGAUGUAUCUAAUUCGUGAUAAAUUAUCUUUUGUCUUAAAAUAAAUUAAUUUUUGGGCACAAAAUAAACUUCGUCUCAAAAAUAUGUUGUUACAACUUACAAUAGUGACAAAUUAGAGUUUGUAGUUAAAUAUUAUAAGUUUUAGCUAUAAAAAUUUAGACUUAAUUGUUACAUUUAUUUUCGUCACUAAUAAUAUAAAUAAUUGGUGACAAUCAUUUUAUUGUCUCUAAUAAACCUUCGAUUUAAUGACAACAGAAAAUUGUCACAAAAUCUGUAAGGUGUUAAAUAGGGAUGAAUCAAAAUUUGUAGUUGAAUAAUUCGAUUAUUUUCUACAAAAAAGUUCAUAGCUAAAUACAAAUUUUUCUUUGGCUAGAUUGUUCAUAAUUAGAGGAAAUAUCAUAAAUGAUCACUGAACUAUUGAAAUGGGUCUAAACUAGUCUCUUAACUAUACAUUUAUUAGAUUUAGUCCUUUAACUAUUUUAAAUGUUAUCAAGUUUAGUCGCUUAAUUAUAAACUUACAACUUUUAGUCCCUUAACUAUACACUUACUAGUUUUAGUCCUUUAAGUAUUCAAAUAUUUAUCACUUUUGGUCUUUGACUAUUUUUUUUAUUCAAAUAGUUUGGUUUAUAUUAAUAGAACUCAUGUAUCUGUGAAAUUAAAUCUUUUAACCCAUUUUCCAGGUGUUUCUCUUUCCCCGCUAGCUUUUCUUCAAAUUACUCCUAAGAAAAGAACCUUACCUUAACGAUUCAAAAUAAAAUUCACGAAAAAGAAAUAAGAAGCCUUGACUUUUAUUCAAUGGAAGAUGAAAUAAAAUAUUAUUGUUGUUAAUGACUUUAUAAUAUUAAAAUUUAUUAUAAAAAUGAAAAUGUUAUUACCCGUAAGGUGCAGAGAGAGAUUUAUUUUUUUAUAUUUGAAAGAAAAGAAUUUCUUGCAAUUCGAAAAAAAUUAAUAGUUCUUUACUCACAUAUUUUGAUUCCAAAUUUUGUAAUCCAACGAUUUUUUUGAAGGAAAUUUGUUUAAUUUUUUAGAAGUUGAAACUUAUAAAAUGGUAGAUUUACCGUUAUUUAAGAUUUAUUUUAUUUUGAAAUAGAUCGAUUUUAUUAUUUUGUUCAUUUGAUUUUACGUAGAGUAAUUUGAAUAAUAAGAUCAAAUCUUUUAUUUACUUUGUAUGGAUUUUUUUUAAAAAAAAUCAUGAUUAUUGUGCACCGUUAACAACUAAAGAAGGGAACGUUUUAUUUUGAAUUUUUGUGGUUAAACUCUUUUUAUAACAGUAAUUUGAAGAAAAAAUAGCGGAGAGAGAAACAAUUGAAAAGAUGGGUUAAACAUUUAAUUUCAUAAAGGCAUGAGCUUCGUUGAUAUAAAUAUAAGUUAUGUGUCUAACACCCCUUAUCCGAAACAGACCAAAAAUACAGAUUUUGAAAAGUUGUAGGUACAACCCACGGUUGCCCCCCACGGACCGUAAGUCAGACCAUGGCCCGUGCUGGUGGUCCGUGGUUCACCACUGCAACCCCUCCCUAAACCCAGCUUAGAAAAUCAACUAAGUCUCGACCCACGGACAGACCCACGGUCCGUGGCCUAUGUUCGUGGAUCGAGGACCCCUUCACCCAGUCUCUGACGCAAACGAAGGCCGACCAGCACGGACCGUCGUUCGAUCUACGGUCCGUAGGUCUGACCGUAGGUGAGGGUCAACAACCAAUUAGAGGAAAAUUGUUGAUUGAGUCAACUUCAAAUGGUCAUAAAUCUUAGCACAAAAGUAAUUACAUUUCCCAUGAACUAUGAUAUGAUAUAUAAUUGAGUCCUCUUUCCAACGCCACCGAGUUUGCUAAAAUCCGACCUCCGAGUAAAAAGUUAUGCUCGUUUUAGUGAAGGCCUAUCGGGUAGACUUGACCUACGACCCCAAUCUACGGACCGUAGAUUGACCUACGGCCCAUAGGUCCCGUCCGUCGAUCACUCCGACAUCAGUUAAGUCAGGGGUCUUUUUGGUCGUUUCCUAUUUCGUUGGACCCUUAAGCUACGUCGUUUAGACCUUAAAUUAUGAGGUUUUUAGUCAGUUUAAGCCUAGAAACAUAACUAGAACUUUCCUAAGUCAGAUCAUUCUUUAAAACUUAAAAAAAUUAGAAGCAAGAGAGGAGAAAAAGGUCAAUAACCCUAGUUCAAGAACGCAACAAGGUUCCAUCAGUUUCAGCCCCAAAAUCUAAAGAUUUCUCCGUGGAAUUCUUCACCAGGUAUGUGGGAUUUCACUAGUAGGUUAUUUUCACCCAUUAGGUCCCUAGUUUUCAGUCAGUUUCUUGAUUCCCUUAUUAUUAACUAGACCUAGGGUUUCUAGAACUUCAGUAGAUUAUCAUGAAUUAGUUAUUUACAUGUUCCAAAUCAGAUUAUCAUGGUAUUACUUCGUUUUAUGCAUGAAUUCCAGAACCCUAGCUAUGUAUUUCUUUAGUUCUUGAAUUACACAUGCUAGGUCAGAUAUUUCAGUUAUUCAGUUAUACAUGCCUCAGUUAUUAAUGCAUCAAUAUCAGUUUAAUUGUUGCAUUCUCAGUUUGCAUGUUCAGUUUGAGCUAUCCAGUAACUUACAAAAAUUCAGUUAUAAUGUGUUAAUCACUUAAUCUAUUGGGAGUAGCAUAAUACCGAGUUGGACUAGGGUUCAACGUACCCAUAUAGUCCAAGAACUAUGAGUCACGUAGUUGUAAGUCCCCUAUGUGGACAAUAUCAGUUAGUGAUCACGCCAGUCAUGCUCUAUACCUCUGGCAGGGUAUACUGGGUCCUCUCGAUGAUGCAUAUACAUCGGACUCUACAUUUAGCUCAUGUGGUUUUAUUAUCGGUUAUUAGUAGCUCCCACAAUUCANNNNNNNNNNNNNNNNNNNNNNNNNNNNNNNNNNNNNNNNNNNNNNNNNNNNNNNNNNNNNNNNNNNNNNNNNNNNNNNNNNNNNNNNNNNNNNNNNNNNNNNNNNNNNNNNNNNNNNNNNNNNNNNNNNNNNNNNNNNNNNNNNNNNNNNNNNNNNNNNNNAGUUAGCUCAGUAUUCAGUAUCUAUAUCAUGUUAAGAUUAUGCUCUUGCUUUAUUGCUCGUUCAAUUAUAUGUUAUUUCAGUUGUAUUCUAUUCUGCAUGCUUAGUACCUUUCAAGUACUAAUGCAUACUUUGCGCUACAUCUUCUCGUGAUGUAGGUUCAAGUUCUCAACAUCCAAAUCACGCUUAGAUCGGUUCCCGAUCUCCAGUUCAGCAGAGUCAGUGGUGAGUCCUUAUUCUCCGAGGACAAUAGUCAUGAGUUUCUUUUCAGUUAUUUUUAGUCUUUUAGUUUCAGUUUUGCUAGACUUAGCUGGGGCCUGUCCCAGCAUUUCUAGUCAGUUAGAGGCUAUUUCAAACAUAGUUAGAUUCAGCUUAGUAUUUAGUUAAUAUUUUCUUUGUAUUAAACUCAUCAGUUUUCAUUUAUCUCAGUUAUAGUAUAUGGGUAUUCCCCAUCUUUUCAUUUUGUUUAUGAUUAUAGCUUCCACACAGUUUUUAUUAUUCAGUUUAUAUUUAGUAUGCUCAUGAUUAUGCCAGCAGGGUUAGCUUGGGAUCACUUGUGGUCCUAGUUUCCGUGUCCGCGUCUCGGGGGUAGUUAGGGGCGCGACAAACUUGGUAUCAGAGCACUAGGUUUACGAGUCCUAGGAUGUCUGAAAAAGCUGCACUAAGUAGAAUCCUUUUCAUGGGUGUGAAGUGCACCACAUCUAAUGAGAAGGAGGCUAUGAAGUGUUUUAAGAAUACUUCAUUUUCUUGAUAUUCUUACCGUACGUUAGUAUGAUCUCCUUUCUAAUCCAUCGUUACGCGCUUAAGAUCAUGCCUCCUCAUAAGGAUUACAUAAGGAAUGCUAAUGCACGCAAUGCUAACCCAGUUCCUCUAGUCCCAAACCAUGAGGUUUCAAACAUAGAGUUUCGGAAUGCGAUUCAGAUUUUGGUUCAAAGUAUGACCAACCAGAACAAUCAGCAGGUUGGAGUUCCUACUAAUAGAAAUGGUAGAUUAACGGUAGCUAGGGUUUGAGAUUUUGUAAGGAUGAAUCCGCCUGAGUUUUUAGGGUCACAAGUUGGUGAGGACCCACAUAACUUCAUUGAUAAUGUUAAGAAAAUCUUUGGAGUGAUGCAAGUGACUGGUAAUGGUAGGGUUGAGUUGACAUCCUACCAACUUAGGGAUAUUGCUCACAUAUGGUUCACUCAGUGGAAAGACAACAUGGGCUACUUUGUCUUUAGUAAGUCCCUUUAUAGCAGUAAUCUUAGGUGUCAGUCCAGAAACUCUAUCAGAACCCUUCUCAGUCUCUACUCCAGUCGGUGACCCAGUUAUAGCUAGACGGGUAUACAUAAAUUGCCCUGUCACAGUCUCUCAGAAAGUCACCUCAGAUGAUCUUGUAGAGUUAGAAAAGGUAGACUUCGAUGUCAUUCUAGGCAUGGAUUGGUUACAUUCCUGUUAUGCCUCAGUCAAUUGUAGAUCUAGGAUUGUUUUCAGUUUUCAGAAGAACCAAUCCUAGAAUGGAAGGGUUGUAGUUUAGCGCCUAUGGGUCGAUUCACUUCUUACCUUAAGGCUAAAAAGAUGAUCUCUAAGGGUUAUCUCUAUCAUCUAGUUCGAGUUAAGGAUUCAAGCUCUGAAACCCCAACUAUUGAUUCAGUUCCUGUGGUUAAUGAGUUUCCAAAAGAUCUUCCCGAAAUUCCUCCCGAUAGGAAAAUCGACUUUGGAAUUGAUCUCCUUCCCGAUACCUAGCCUAUCUUUAUUUCUCCUUACAGAAUGGCUCCAGAUAAGCUUAAGGAAUUGAAGGAACAGUUGAAAGACCUUCUAGAUAAGGGUUUCAUCAGACCUAAUAUUUCGCCAUGGGGUGCACUAGUAUUGUUCGUAAAGAAGAAAUAUGGUUUUCUUAGAAUGUACAUUGACUAUAGGUAGUUGAACAAGGUCAUAAUCAAGAAUAAUUAUCCCAUCCCCAUGAUUGAUGACUUGUUUGACCAACUUCAGGGUGCUAGUCAUUUCUCAAAGAUAGACCUCAGAUCGGGUUAUCAUCAGCUUAGAGUCAGAGAUAGUGACAUUUCGAAGACAGCCUUCAGAACUCGAUAUGGUCAUUAUGAAUUUGUAGUCAUGUCAUUUGGACUAACCAAUGCUCCUGCAGCUUUCAUGGAUUUGAUUAACAAAGUGUUCAAGCAGUACUUGGACUUGUUCGUUAUCAUCUUUAUUGAUGAUAUCCUUAUUUACUCUAGGAAUGAGGAAGAACAUGCGAGUCAUUUGAGAUUUAUUCUGGAAACUCUCAAAGAUCGCCAGUUAUUUGCAAAAUUUAACAAGUGCGAGUUUUGGUUACAAUCAAUUGCCUUCCUUGGGCAUAAUGUGUCUAGUGAAGGAAUUCGAGUAGAUUCCCAGAAGAUAGAAGCAGUGAAACAAUGGCCCAGACCUACUUCUGCUAUAGACAUCAAAAGUUUCUUGGGUUUAGCGGGCUAUUACAGAAGGUUCGUGGAAGGAUUUUCAUACAUAGCCUCACCAUUGACUAGGUUGACUCAGAAUAUGGUCAAGUUUCGAUGGUUAGAUGAUUGUGAGAAAAGCUUUGUAGAAUUGAAAACUAGGUUGACUACAAAUCUCCUGUCUUAACUCUACCAGAGGGUUCAGAUGGUUAUGUGAUCUAUUGUGAUGUAUCCAGAGUCGUCCUAGGUUGUGUGUUGAUGCAGCGAUGUAAUGUUAUAGCUUAUGCUUCUAGACAACUUAAGGUACAUGAGAAGAAUUACCCAACUCAUGACCUUGAGCUUGCAGCAGUGGUGUUUGCACUCAAGAUUUGGAGACACUACUUGUAUGGUGUUCAUAUAGAUGUGUUCACAGACUAUAAGAGCCUCCAGUAUGUAUUCACCCAGAAAGAGUUGCAUCUUCGCUACAUAAGGUGGCUUGAGUUCCUCAAAGAUUAUUAUAUGAGCGUGCAUUACCAUCUAAGUAAGGCAAAUGUAGUAGCAGAUGCUCUUAGCAGAAUGUUAUCAUUUUCUCAUAGUAAAAACUGUUAUCUUGGGAUUCAAUAAAGGUAGCAGUCAUUUCACUGUCACUCAUCGGUGGUUGGACUCUAGCUGCUUUUGAUCUCCAACGUAGAGCAUACUCACGAAAUGUCUCAGUAGAUUUCUUCUUUAACUUAGUGAGGUAGAACCUAUCUGGUAUGAUGUCGGUAUUGAACUUGAAUCGAUCCAUAAAGUCUUGUGCCAUAUCACUCCAACCACGCCAUUUAUGGAGAUCUUGUUGUGUGUACCAAGCAAGAGCUUCACCAAAUAAACUUCUUACGAACAACUUCAUUCUGACCCUCUCAUCUCACCCCACUCCUACCAGUUUGUCACAAUAGACCCUUAGAUGUGUAUGAGGAUCACCAAUUCCAUUGCAAGUAUCAAACUUUGGCAGUUUGUACCUUACAUGCAAAUCAAUGUCAGGUUGCACACAGAGAUUCUCAUAUUCUAGGCUUUUGUUUCCCCUAGUGGUUUGGAGAUUUCUCAUUGCUUCCUUAAGAUCACGAAUCUCUCUAGCUAACACAUCAUCGGCCUUUGCCUUGACAUCCUUCUCCAUUUCCUCAUAUUGAUCUACCUUGGGUUGAAACUUGACUGAUAUUGGAUUGGCAUAGGUUUGAGUUUCCACUGCAUAUACCGGAGGAACAUGUUGCACAUAAGGAUUGGCAAUAUGUGCCCUUUGUAUAAAUUUGGCUGGAUAAGUUUGGACAAUGGGUGUAUUUUGAACAUGAGGUGAUGGAUUCGAUGGGUUUACGGGAGUAAUUGUAGGUUGUGGAUAUGUGUUAAUGGGUUGGGAAAUGUAAGGAGUAUGAGUUGGAGGUUGAUUUUGUGGGUUGACAAGUGGAUUAGGAGGAGUAGCAUAGGUAGUGUAGGUAGGUGGUUGACUUUGUGGAGGAGCGUAAAUGGGUAACAAAUUUGGUGGAUUUGUGGGAGUAGUUGGAAGAAGGUUAUUGUUGGUAGGCGGAGGUUGUUGUGGAGGAAAGUGUUCAGGUACGGGUGAAUCAAGUGAUGGAAAACGAGGUGGGUUUAGUGUAGUACUCCUAGGUUAAUGAAGUGGACUUUGGAGUGUGAUGGAUAAGUUGGUCAAGUCUCUAUUCCGGUUAGUUCACUACGUAAAUCCUCAAUCUCUUGAGUCAAAUGGGUGAUGAGUUCAUCAUGUUGAAUAGUAGUUCUAUCUUCGAAAGUCUCGGGAGAGUCAUUAGGAACCAUGAUAUGUCCUGGACCAAUUGGAUCAAAUGUGGUUGGAUUAGUCAUAGUAAUUUUUCUUCCUUGAAUAGCCCAACUACACCGAGGUAAUGUCGAUGACUUGGACCUUGUGAAGUAAGGAUGGUUGGCCAGCUCGAUUGUCAACACGAAUCAACUUUGGUAGGGAAAAAAUAAAAAUAAAAAUAAAAAUAAUGUUAGUUUUAAAUGAAAAAGUAAAGUCAUGUUCACAUAAUUCAAAUAAAUCGCGUAGCAUGCAAGUCAUCAAGUAGAGUCAAAUAAGUUGUAAGAAUAACAUGUAAACAAGUCAUCAAGUAAAGUCAAAUAUAUCGCAAAGAUAACAUGUAAACGUGUCCUAAUAUGCUUGUGACCUCUUUGUGCUAGAGGUUGACCUAACGUAAAUUUAAGAAGUAUAUUUGCCAUAAUAUGUCAUCCCACUACUCUUGAUUAAUUAAAUAAUUUUAUUUCUCCAAAAUUAAAGUACUAGAUAAUGAAAUUAUUUAUUACAUGUCUAAUAAAUACAACCUAAAGUACUUCCUAAAGUAAAAAGAAAUUCUAGUAUGUCCGUCCUUCUUGGUUCCUUUUGGUGAUAUCACCACUUAUUGUAUUUUAUCGUCAAAUUUUCAUAUCUGUCACAGAAAGGUUAGUCAUACCAUCCCUAAAAUUUAAUUAAUUAGAGCAAAUGGUUCAUAUUUAGGCAUAAAUAUUUCUCAAAUAUGCACAUAAAUAAUGAUAGGUCAUCACUUGGGGUGGGAAACCCACUUGGACAUUUAAGGUAAAGUCGACUAAUGGACUUAAUACACCAAGGGUAUAAAGUCUCUUAGGUCAUGAAAUGAUGUAUGCUCCUUGUAAAGUGUGUUGGUUUAGCUCUACUCUAGGUAAACUAGGACUGGGUUUUACUAGACACAAGGUUCCCGAGUGGACUACUCGAGUGAGAAGGCUACGUGGUCACACGGAAAAAGAUCCAGACACCCUGCGCAUAUGCGAACUCUCCUAAAUUUUGGAAUUUUGAAAGAAAUUUGCGGGUGCGCAAAACACACCUCGCAUGUACCUGUGAUAGUGUGAAUUUCCAAGAAGUGGAGAAAUAUGAACAGAAUGACAGUUAAGAAAAGCAGUAGCACAUAAACAUUUAUAACAAACAAAUAAUUUAUAGCAUGUAGACAUAAUUUAUAGCUAAUGAAUAAUUUAUAUCAUGUGAAAAUAAUUCAAAGCAAACAAACAAUUAGUUGAAUGUAAAAACAGUUUAAAACAAAUAAUGUAAUUAAAGUAAGCACAUAAAAGCCUAAUUAAACUAAAUCCGUUGUGGUUAGAACCUAAUAAGUUCCCCAGUGAAGUCACCAAGCUGUUAUACCCCAUUUUAACCGGAUCAAAAUAGUGUACAACAUUUUGAUGAUUCCAAAGGUAGUAACUAAAUCAAGAAGUCGCCACCUAAUUAAUUAUGGUGAAUUAGGACACCUAAAUUGAUUAAAGUCAUUGUCUAAAGUUAAACUUCAUUUUAAGGUCUACCAAACUUAAGAUUCUAGGUAAGGGUUCAACUAAUUUAAAGGGAAGGGGUUAGGCUGUAACAUCCGACAAUUUAAAAUGAAUAUGAAGAAGCUUGAAAUUGGAAGUAGUCACUUUUGGAAAAAGUGACGAAUCUGGAAAUUUGGCUAAGUUUACAAUCUGGAAAAUUUGGCUAAGUGUGGAAAUCAGUGAGUUUUUGGCCAAUUUUGAGCAGUCGUAACUCCUAGAUCAAGAUGAGUUAGGAGUAGUUCCAGUUAUGGUUGUGAAGCUUGUGGAAUGAUCUUUUCAACGCCACUGAGUUUGCUCAAUUCCGAGUUCGUAUGAGCGAGUUAUUCCCGUUGAAAAUUAGGCAGUUGGCAGGGAAUCCGUCUAGAAAAUUUAAGGGCAUUUUGGUCUUUUCCCUAGCCAUUUUUUUGGGAUUAUAUUGGGUGUUAGGAUGAUUUUGGAUCAUUUUUAUCCCAUUCUAAGAGAGAAAGAGUUAGGGUUCUUGAUAGUGAAGAAGAGAAGAAGAGGAGAAGAAGAGGAGGAAGGGAAGAUCAAGCAAAAAUUUGUCAAGAUCAUCGUGGAUUUUCAUCGGGGGUGAUCCCUGUGAAGGUAUGUGAGUUCAUAGUGAUGGAUUGAUUCUUUCCCCCACACACCAAACUCGUUUUAUUAUUGAGAAAAGAUUGGUUGUGUUGUUUGGAGUUGUUGGUUGUGUUGUUGAUAUUGUUAAUUGUGUUGUUGAAGUCCCUUGUUGAUUUGGGACAUAAUUUGGUUGCGUUUUGAGUUGAAUCUCUUGUAUGUUGAAGGAUUUUAUGAUCCUUAGUGUUGGUUGGUUCAUACCCCCCACACACCAACUCGUUUUUAAUUCCAAGAAAAUAUUUAUUUUGGUUGUUGAAGUUGUUGGUUGUGUUGUUGAAGUUCUUGCUGAUUUGGGAUAGGAUUUGGUUGCGUUUUUUAGUGGAAUCCACUGUAUGUUGAGGGAUUUAUGACCCCAAGUGUUUGGGAAAAGAACCUUUGAAGUUAAGAGGGUUAGAGUUGGCAACAUGAAGGAGAAAAGUCAGGCUGCUUUCAGGAAACAAGUCUGCGUCGCGGCUGUGUUCCCUCAGUGAACAAAAUCUGCUAUGUUUUCAGAAUUUAAUUUCGUAUUCUUCUUAAGUUUAGCUGUCCUAAAUUAUUCCUAAACAUAAUGGGGUCCUUCCAAACACAAAUCAUUACCCUUGAAUUCAUAAUUCCAAUUCAAGGAGAGUUAGUUAGAAGUCAAGUGAAGUUAGAAGUUAAGAGUUAAGCUUAGAAGUUAAGUAAGUCAAGCAAGUUGUAAAGUUGUUCAAGAGUCUUUAUUGAACGUUUUAACUUCAUUUUUAGANNNNNNNNNNNNNNNNNNNNNNNNNNNNNNNNNNNNNNNNNNNNNNNNNNNNNNNNNNNNNNNNNNNNNNNNNNNNNNNNNNNNNNNNNNNNNNNNNNNNNNNNNNNNNNNNNNNNNNNNNNNNNNNNNNNNNNNNNNNNNNNNNNNNNNNNNNNNNNNNNNNUGUAUUCCCAAAGAAGUUUUUAAAGAAAUGUUUUUACAUUUAAACAAGGUUGGAAACUGAGAUUUCCAAAAUAGCCUUCGGGCUAGUUUUUGAGUAAUUAUCUCAUAUCAGCAGGAAGAAAUAUGUUUUAAAAACAUAAGAGCCAGUACAUUUUUGGGAGUAGUAUCGAGCACCGAAUUGGGGGAGAAAAUAACUUUUAUCCAAAAAUUGUUUUGAUCUUGUAAUAAAAUAUAUUUUUUGGAACUAAUCAAAUGUAGUAAGAUAUUUAAAAUGUACCAGUCCAUUUGUGGAAAACGUUUGAAUUUACAAUCAAAGUUAAAAACAAACAUCUUUGAUUAGUUUACACUUAUGAGUGGUUAAAAAUAUCGUAGGUAAAAAACAUUUCUUUUCUUUUUACUAUUAAGCCAAACUCUAGGGAAUAAGAUAAUUUUAUUCAUAUUAUUAAACUAAGUGUCUCAUCGAUAAAGUUUUCAAAUAGAGAUCAAAUAUAUCUAGAUUGUUAAAUAAAGCAUCACAGCAAACCAAAUAAUUUAGCAAGCAUAAUGGUAAAGAAUAGGCUAGAUAACUAAUUGGCUCUGGAAAUAGGAAAAGCGAGUAAGUGUUUUAUCAAAAUAUGAAUGGUCAAUCCCAUGUUCGGUUUAUGCAAGCUCCAUGUGACAAUGGUGUCGUUGAGUCUCAUGGUGAGACUCUUCAGCUCCGGUGUGAACAUGUAAAGACAAGAAAGAAAAUGAGAAUUAGAGAGUUAGGAAAAUCAAUUGUAACAACUUCAAAUUAGAAAUCAUACAAAGCAGGUGACAUGUAAAGGGCUUAAACAAGUCAUAAAACAUAUAUAUAUAUAUAUAUUAGCUUAACUAAUAUUAAAUGGAAGUUUGAAAGAGAUAAAUUGUGUUCAUAAAAAUUCCCAAAUCUUCAUCUUGAACACACACAUAUCACAAUAGUUGAAACUAGAGAGAUUCCUACAGUAUAUGAUUUUUAGUCGAAGAGACAACAAUGACAAACAAACAAUAUGUACAGACACUCACAUGUUUACAACAAUCAGACCGAGUGAUACAAGGAGGUGAAAGGACUGGCCUUUCUUACUAUCCACGUAGAUAUCAAACAAGUCAAGGCGAGAAACAAAUAAAUUGAGACGUCACUUAUGUAAACUCGUGUUCAUUCAGAAAGGAUACAAAUAUGAUAAACUUGAUUUGUGAAAAAACGGAUAGCAAUUCAAAGAACUUUUAACAACCACAUAUUUACAGACUCAUAUACUAAAACAAACUCAAAAAUUAAAAUUACAUUUCUGUCGGCAAAGGCCAACAGAAAAAUACAACAGCAAGAUAAACUUGGAACUAAAAAUGAAUCACAUAUUCAUGGAACCAAAAUAGAUGGAGGCGAGAAAAAUAUGUAAGUGAAUAAAAUGAUGAAUUUUACCUUUUGUGGAGCAGUGAACUGAAGGCGUUGUCGAUCUAGAAUCCCAAAUUCGCUAUUUCAAAACGAGCAAGGAUGAACAACCUUUGCUAAAACUAAAACACGUAUGAAAGUAUUUCGAAGCAAGGCAACUAAGACUUUUUGUGCGUGUUCUUGCAAGUGUUCUGGCCUUUGAGAAAGGUGAAAAUUGCCAAUGUUCAAAGGUGCUUUUGGCUGAGAGUUUGAGAUGUAUUUAUAGGCCAAAAUUCGGAUUAAGAUAUGUUUGAGCGGGAUUUUGAACAUGACUGUUUGAAUUCAAAAUGACCGUUCACAAUAAUCCAAAAUAAGGCCAAAGAGAUGUUGAAAUCUCUCUGUAUUCCAGGUCUACAUAUUUCAUAAUAGGCCAAGGAUUUGAAAUCUUUUUGAGUGUUCAAAGAGAAAAAGUGGUCUUGAUCGAGAAAGAUGUUGAAAAAUAAUAAUACAACGAGUGAGAAGAGUUUCACCAAAAUAGAGAAACCAAAAUAAUGUCCAUGUUGAAAGCUAAAUGGAGCUUUGCACGUAAAUGGAAAAGGAGAAAGUGACGUUUUGGAGAAAAGUGUGGCUGAUGAGUUUAGAAUAAUAUUAGGGUUGAAGAUUUUCUGAUAUAUUUUAAAUGGGCUAGCGAAUUUGGGACUAUUUUGGACAGAUUUGACAUCAUAAUCGGGCUGAUAUUUGGUCCGAUUAGAAUUCGAUUAGGCCCAAUUUUAUGGUCUUUUUCUUUCUUAUAUUAAUUCUUUUGAGCUUCUAACUAGGGACAAUGAAUUAAGGGUUAUAGAAAAGUUUCAAAAUUAAGGAUUGGUGACUCAAGUUUUAAUUAUUGAGUAGGGGUGAUAAUUUUUAAAUUAAAAAUUAAGGGGUUGAAUUUUUCAUCCCUAAGUUUUUUAUUUUACACUUUAGUCCAUCUUAUAAAAAAUUCCAAAUAAUAAGAAAUUGAGGGGAAAAAAAAGGUACCAACGGCUCACUUUUUUUCCCUUUUUCUCUCUUGCUUAUUCUUCCAUUGUUGGGGACCAUUGUUGCUGCUCUUCUUCUUGAUUCUUCUUCUCCAUCAUCAUUCUUUCUUCUUGUUCAUCACCAUCUUCUUUUGGUUGUUCAUCAUUUUUUUUUCUUCAGUUGAUAUUCACAUAGUACUGUUGCUUUUAAACCAAUUUUCAUUCAUAUAUCAUUGGGCUAAUUCAUAAGUGAUUUUGGUAAGUAAACUAAUGAUUUUUACUCUAAUAUUUCAUUUUGGUAAUUUGAGUGUUUCUUAAAAAAUUUACAGUCGCGUACCCAACAGGUAAGUCAUCUGUUGCAACAGAUAGAUUACAUGUUGGAUACAUAUUACAGUACCAUGUCAAGCUGGGACUGAACCAGAAGCUUGUCCCAACAGAUAAGUCAUUUAUUGCAACCGAUGAGUCAUUUGUUGCAACAGAUGGAUUACCUGUUGGAUACAUAUUAUAGUAUCAGGCCAAGCUGGAAAAGAACCAGAAGCUUGUUACAACAGAUAAGUCAUUUAUUGCAACAUAUGAGUUAUCUGCUGCACCAGACGACUCAUAUGUUGCAACAGAUGGCUUACCCGUUGGAUAUAUGUUGCAACAAAUGGAUUACCUGUUGGAUACAUAUUAUAGUAUCAGGCCAAGCUGGAAAAGAAUCAGAAGCUUGUUACAACAGAUAAGUCAUUUAUUGCAACAUAUGAGUCAUCUGCUGCACCAGACGACUCAUAUGUUGCAACAGAUGACUUAUCCGUUGGAUACAUGUUACAGUACCAAGCCAAACUAGGACAAAACCAGAAAUUUGUCCAAACAGGUAAGUCAUUUAUCGCAACGGAUCAAUUACCUAUUGCAACAAAUGACUCAUUUGUUACAACAAUAGACUUACAUGUGAAUCAUCUGCUGCAACUGAUGAUCUACUUGUUGCAAUAGAUGAUUGACUAGUUGGGAUAAUAAUUGUGCAUAUGAUUUUUAAUUGUAUAUAGCCACUCAACUUUACUAUACAAUCAUUAUUAAAUAUUUUUAAUAAACUCCUUUAGGUACCAUUAAUGGAAGAAUCAAUAACAAUAGCUAUUGAUUGUUAUGGUGAAUAGAUUGAGAAGAACAAUUGAUUUAUUUGGCGUUGGAAGGAUGGUGACAUGUCAGAGUCAAUAUUGAUGACCGUCCAAAGGGAUAUUUUGUAUAAUGAUUUUGUGAAACUCAAUCAUUAGCUAUUGUGGACUAAAUUGGACACAAGAAACAACAUGCCCGAUUCGAAAUGCUCCAUAAUUAUUGUAAUAGUGAAAUAACUAUUUUUGUACUUUAGUUAUGAAUCUUAUAAUUGUAACUCAUUUUGGUUAAUUGUGUAUGUUCAUAUUUAUUAUAUAAAAUAUAUUAGUUAUGCUCAUCUAUUGCAACACUUUGUAUAUUUUGCAUUAGAUGCAUUAUCUAUUACAUUAUUUGUUGCAAUAGAUAACCAUCUGUUGAAAAUACUCAAAUAAAUAUGAUCAUCUGUUGCAACAAUUAUAGGAAUCUGUUACAACAAAUGUCUAAUAUGUAUUACAUGUUGCAAUAGAUGACCCAUCCAUUUGGAAAUAAUCAAGCAUAUAUGCUCACUUGUUGCAAUGGAUGCUUCAUCUGUUGCAACAUAUGAGCAUAUAUGUUUGAUCAUUUUCAGUCGACUCUAUAUAUUUCUGAUAUGAAAUGUUUUAUUAGCCCAUAAUUAGUGAUAAAUAAAGUUAUUCAAUUAUAAUUACCUUUCAAUUAUAAGUUUAAUUAUAAUCUCAAUGCAUUAUAGCGUAAUUACAUGAUCAACUAAUUGUGUUCGUCUUUAAUAAAGUGAUCAAUUGAUUAUUUUGAUAUGAAACGCUUAAUUAAUCCAUAAUUAGUGAUAAAUAAACUUAUUUAAUUAUAAUUACCUUUCAAUUAAUAAGUUCAAUUACAUUUUCAAUGUAUUGUAGAGUAAUUACAUGAUCAACUAACUGUAUUCGUCUUAAAUAAAGUGAUCAAUUGAUUAUUUUGAUAUGAAAUUCUUCAUUAACUCAUAAUUAGUGAUAAAUAAAGUUAUUUAAUUAUAAUUACAUAUCAAUUAUAAGUUUAAUUAUAAUCUCAAUGCAUUAUAGCGUAAUUACAUGAUCAACUAAUUGUGUUCGUCUUUAAUAAAGUGAUCAAUUGAUUAUUUUGAUAUGAAAUUCUUCAUUAACUCAUAAUUAGUGAUAAAUAAAGUUAUUUAAUUAUAAUUACAUAUCAAUUAUAAGUUUAAUUAUAAUCUCAAUGCAUUAUAGCGUAAUUACAUGAUCAACUAAUUGUGUUCGUCUUUAAUAAAGUGAUCAAUUGAUUAUUUUGAUAUGAAAUGCUUCAUUAACCCAUAAUUNNNNNNNNNNNNNNNNNNNNNNNNNNNNNNNNNNNNNNNNNNNNNNNNNNNNNNNNNNNNNNNNNNNNNNNNNNNNNNNNNNNNNNNNNNNNNNNNNNNNNNNNNNCAAUUAUAAAAUAUGAUUAACUAAAUAUGAUAAGUGUUCAUGAAUUACAAUUCAUAUAGAAUUCUUCAUCUUACAAAAUAGAAUUCAUGAUAAAAUAACUUGACAUCUAUGUAAUAUAAAAUAUUGUCAUCGGCAAUUAUAAAAUAUGAUUAACUAAAUAUGAUAAGUGUUCAUGAAUUACAAUUCAUAUAAAAUUCUUCAGCUUACAAAAUAGAAUUCAUGAUAAAAUAACUGGACAUAUAUUAAAUAUAAAAUAUUGUCAUCAUCAAUUAUAAAAUAUCAGGUUCUUCACCUUACAAAAUAUGACUUCAGCAACCCAUAUGCUCUACAACUUCUGUUGCUCUUCUAUGGCUCCUGAAGAUGACUCAACAUUGCAAGGAAGAGGAGUAGUUGCAAUUUGUUGUCUCUUUUUCAUAUUUGAUAAUAUCUUGGAAAUUGAUUUUCUUCUCUUCUUAAUCUUCAAUGGUGUGAAUGGAUCCGAAUUUUUUCUUGAUGGAAUAACACCUCUUGGAUAUCAAUUCCUUAACAGCACUAGUAAGAGCAUCAAGAGACUUCUUCACCAGUAGAUAUUAACUGAGCAUCUUUGUUCUUACAUUCUUCACAUUCACAUGCAGAACAUGAGCCAAAAGGAUCAAAAGAUGUGGUAUGUCCACUGAAAGGGGUGAAUCCACCAUAUAUACCACCAAUAUCAUCAACAUGCUCACCACCACUUUUAGCACCAACAUCACCAAUAUCAACACCAACAUUAACAUCAACAUCUAUUGCAACAUCAUCAGCAUCACCAGAAACAAUAGGUGCUUCCCUUUGAUCGUUGUUGCUCCAGCCAAAUUUUUUUAUCAGAUCCACUGUAGGGUCUGAUUUUGUGUCAAUAAUUCCUAAAGUUAAAAAGAAUGACAUUUGCAACUCUUACUCUGUGGGGACAAGUCAUGGAUGUACAAUCUAUAAACAAAAGUAGUUUAUAUUAAAACUAAUCUAUAAAUUAUAAUUUAUAAAAUAUUUAUUGUAAUAUUUACCUAUAUACUUAAUUUCUAACAUAUGACCCAUUUGUUGCAACAGAUGGGCCAUCUAUUGGAACAAAGCAAAACAGUAGCAAAUGAUCAAGUUUUCUUAUAACAGAUGACUGAUCUGUUGCAACAGAUAGGUCAUCCGUGGGAAGUAAGUAAAACAGCAACAAGCUAUUGAGAUUUCGUCCAAUAGAUGACCCAUCUGUUUCAACAGAUCGGCAAUCUGUUGGAUGAAAGCAAAAUAACAACAAAAGAUUGAGAUUUCGUCAAAUAUAUGACCUAUCUGUUACAACGAAUAAGUCAUUUGUUGGACCUAAGUAAAACAAUAACAAAUGAUUAAGUUUUUGUCCAACAAAUGACCCAUCUAUUGCAACAGAUCAGUCAUCUGUUGGACAAAAGCAAAACAGUAGCAAACUCUUUAUGUUUUCUUCCAACAGAUGACCUAUCUAUUGCAGUAGAUGACUAUAGAUGAGUCAUAAAAUAAAAUUGAUGCAAAGAGGAGUCUUCGCAAGAUCAAACUUUUUUCUCACAUUUGAAAUUGCUAACGAAUACAUAAAGAGAAGACAACUCAAGUUCUUCUUUUGCUUUAUAACUAAAAAGGAAAAGAAAGCUUAAUCCUGAUUAUGAUGUUAUGCACACCUUGUAGACAUUGCUGCUCAAAUCCAAUUAGGCAGAAUCUCUAACUUACACUAUUGAAAAACUCAUGGCCCCAUGACAAACUCUUCUAAUCUUCCCCAAUUGCAACAUAACUAUGUGUAAGUUAGAACAACAAAUCGUAUAUUAGCCAAUAGUUCGAUUUGAUUAAAAACAUUUAAUCAUUUCAGCUUAGCCUAAGUGUAGAAAAUAAUCUUAGAAAGACUUUGUCUUGUACUUGUUGCUUUGUUCCAAAAAUAUUAUAGCCAAAGGGAUCUUAUUCCAUAGAUAUAAGAGUUUAUAAGUAAAGAAGAAUAAAGCCCUUCUCUUUGCAUGAAUUGUUGAAAGUAAAAAUCAUGUGAACUCUAGAAAAUUGACUUUAGCACUGUUCUUGGAGGCAAUAAAUUAUUUAUGAUGUCUUGAUUAUGUUUUCUUUUCUUCAUUCUUUCCAACAAAAUCAAGAAUACCAACAACACCAAUUGAUUCAAUACAACAACACAAACAACAAUAAAGAAAGUCAAUAUAUCAACAAUUGUUCGAGAAAUACAAAUAAUAAAUAUGUCUACGAAAAACUACAAAAUACACAAUAACUAUUACUAUUACACAACAAUAUUGGAGAACAACAACAACAAAUUAUGGUUUUUUUUCGGAUUUGUCUUCUUUUUCAAGCAUCAACUUCUAAAAUUGCUAACGUAUACAUAAAGAGAAGACAACUCAAGUUCAUCUUUUUCUUUAUAACUAAAAAGCCCUAAUUUUUUUCAAAAUAAAAGUUUUUACCUGCGAAGAGAGAAAAUUGAUGCUUAGAAUCGAAGCAAUUGCCAAAAGUUGAAAAGUUGAGACUCGAAAGUUGAAAAGUUGCUGGAAGUCGAUUGGAAGCGAUGGCGGAGCAGAUUUGAGGAAGAGACAUUUGAGUCGGAAGAGAGGAAGAACAAUGAAUAAGAGAAGUUAAAGAAAGUGGAGAAUCCAAGAAAGUGGAGAGAAAUUUGGAUUGUUUUGUAUUUUAAAAUUUGGACUGUUUUGUAUUUUUAAAAAGAUUAGAAGUUUUGAAAAUGUUAAUUCAGUCCCAAUUAACUUAAUCUAAUAAUUAAAUGUUUUGACUCUUUUUUUGGUCAAAAUAGUCACCAAAGUUUAUAUAGAGACUUAAGAGACACUUUCUAUUCAAUUUUCUCUUCUAACUAGUAUAAAUACUUUAUAUAAAUUUUUUAGUAAGGAUGAAACUUAAAAUAAAGUAACGACAAUCUAUUUUAAAGAAGAUGACGAUGAAGUAAUAAUAGUAAAGUUAAUUAAAUUUUUUUAUAUAAUUUUGAAAUAGUGAAAAAUGAUAAUAGAAAGAUGAUAAUCAUAAAAACAGUAAAAUUUAAAGUAAUACAAAUAAUAACAAUAGUGAUAAAUGGAAAAUAAUAGUGAAUUAUAAAGUAUUCGACUUAUUACCAAUUUAGAAGCUCAACGAAAUAAAUUAGAAGAAAGGAGGGACAAAAUUUGGUGUCAACACUCGCACACAGCAUGACUCCAUUUGGGUGAUUGUUGAUAGGGUUACUAAGUUUUCUCUCUUUUUGGAGGUCAAGACUACAAAUUCGGCGGAGGAUUACGCCAAGCUUUACAUUAAUGAGAUUGUGAGGUUGCAUGGGGUUCCUUUGUCUAUCAUCUCAGAUAGAGGUGCUCAGUUUACUUCUCAUUUCUGGAAGUCAUUUCAGAAAGGUCUUGGUACUCAGGUUAAUCUUAGCACAACAUUUCAUCCNNNNNNNNNNNNNNNNNNNNNNNNNNNNNNNNNNNNNNNNNNNNNNNNNNNNNNNNNNNNNNNNNNNNNNNNNNNNNNNNNNNNNNNNNNNNNNNNNNNNNNNNNNNNNNNNNNNNNNNNNNNNNNNNNNNNNNNNNNNNNNNNNNNNNNNNNNNNNNNNNNNNNNNNNNNNNNNNNNNNNNNNNNNNNNNNNNNNNNNNNNNNNNNNNNNNNNNNNNNNNNNNNNNNNNNNNNNNNNNNNNNNNNNNNNNNNNNNNNNNNNNNNNNNNNNNNNNNNNNNNNNNNNNNNNNNNNNNNNNNNNNNNNNNNNNNNNNNNNNNNNNNNNNNNNNNNNNNNNNNNNNNNNNNNNNNNNNNNNNNNNNNNNNNNNNNNNNNNNNNNNNNNNNNNNNNNNNNNNNNNNNNNNNNNNNNNNNNNNNNNNNNNNNNNNNNNNNNNNNNNNNNNNNNNNNNNNNNNNNNNNNNNNNNNNNNNNNNNNNNNNNNNNNNNNNNUACAAGAUCUUGAAAAAAGUUGGUAAAAUGACUUAUGAGUUAGAGUUGCCAGCAGAUUUGGCAGCAAUGCAUCCAGUCUUCCACAUUUCGUUGUUGAAGAAGUGUGUGGGUGAUCCAACAUCUAUUAUAUCUUUAGAAAGUGUGGCUGUGAAAGAUAGUCUCACUUAUGAAGAGGUACCAAUUGAGAUUCUCGAUCGUCAGGUUAGAAGGUUGAGAAACAAUGAAGUCACUUCAGUCAAGGUUUUGGGGAGGAGUCAGUCCGUAGAGGGAGCUACUCGGGAAGCAGAAGCAGCCAUAAAGUCUAAGUAUCCUCACCUCUGUCCUUACGAUUCCACUCCAGCUUGAGGUAAUAGUUUCUCUUCAGUUUUUCAGUCAUUCAUGCAUAAAUUCAGUCUUAGAAUAAUUUUUCUGCAGUUUGUACUUGCAUUUUCAGAGUAUUUGCAUGUUCUUGGAACUCAGUUCAGUCUGAAAUUCAGUUCUUAGUGUUUAGUGGUAGGGAUUGCAACCCUCUCCCUAGUUUAGUCUUCAUUCGAGGACGAAUGGUCCCAUGGGGGAGAUAAUGUAACACCCAGUAUCCGAAACAGAUCAAAAAUACAGAUUUUGAGAAGUUGCAGGUGCAACCCACGGUUGCCACCCACGGACCGUAGGUCAGACCACGGUCCGUAGGUCUGACCGUAAGUGAGGGUCAGCUGCCAGUUAGAGGAAAAUUGUUGAUUGGGUCAACUUCAAAUGGUCAUAACUCUUAACACAAAAGGAAUUAUAUUUACCAUAACCUAUGAUAUGAUAGAUAAUUGAAUCCUCUUUCCAACGCCACCUAGUUUGCUAAAAUCCGACCGCCAAGUAAAAAGUUAUGCUCGUUUUAGUGAAUCCCUGUCGGGCAGACUUAACCUACGACCCCAAUCUACGGACCGUAGAUUGACCUAUGGCCCGUAGGUCCCAUCCGUCAAUCACUCCGACAUCAGUUAAGUCAGGGGUCUUUUGGUCUUUUCCUAUUUCGUUGGACCCUUAAGCUACGUCGUGUAGACCCUAAAUUAUGAGGUUUUAGUCAAUUUAAGCCUAGAAACAUAACUAGAACUUACCUAAGUCAGAUCAUUCUUCAAAACUUAGAAAAAGUAGAAGCAAGAGAGGAGAAAAAGUCGAGAACCCUAGUUCAAGAACGCAACAAGGUUUCAUCAGUUCCAGCCCCGAAAUCUAAAGAUUUCUCCGUGGAAUUCGUCACCAUGUAUGUGGGAUUUCACUAGUGGGUUCCUUUCACCCAUUAGGUCCCUAGUUUUCAGUCAGUUUCUUGAUUCCCUUAUUAUUAACUAGACCUAGGGUUUCUAGAACCUCUAGCAGAUUAUCAUGAAUUAGUUAUUUACAUGUUCCAAAUCAGAUUAUCAUGGUAUUACUUCAUUUCAUGCAUGAAAUUCCAGAACCCUAGCUAUGUAUUUCUUUAGUUCUUGAAUUACACAUGCUAGGUCAGAUAUUUCAGUUUAUUCAGUUAUACAUGCCUCAGUUAUUAAUGCAUCAAUAUCAGUUUAAUUGUUGCAUUCUCAGCUUGCAUGUUCAGUUUGAGAUAUCCAGUAACUUACAGAAAUCCAGUCAUAAUGUGUUAAUCACUUAAUCUAUUGAGAGUAGCAUAAUACCGAGUUGGACUAGGGUUCAGCUUUACCCAUAUAGUCCUAAAACUACGAGCCACGUAGGUGUAAGUCCCUCUGUGGACAAUAUCAGUUAGUGAUCACGCCAGUCAUGCCUCUAUACCUUUGGUCGGGUAUAUUGGGUCCUUUCGAUGGGGCGUAUACAUCGGACUCCACAUUUAGCUCAUGUGAUUUUAUUGUCGGUCAUUAGUAGCUCCCACAGUUCACUCAGAUUCUAUUGCAUUGACCUCAUUUACAAUACAAUUAGUAUUCAGUUUCAGUAUGUUAUAAAUUUGGUCAUUGCAUUCAGUUAGCUUAGUAUUCAGUAGCUAUAUUAUGUUCAUAUUAUGCUCUUGCUUUAUUUCUCGUUCAAUUAUAUGUUAUUUCAGUUGUAUUCUAUCCUGCAUGCUCAGUACCUUUCAAGUACUGACGCAUACUCUGCGCUACAUCUUCUCGUGAUAUAGGCUCAGGUUCUCAGCAUCCAGAUCACGCUUAGAUCAGUUUCGGAUCUCCAGUUCAGCAUAAUCAGUGGUGAGUCCUCAUUCUCCGAGGACAAUAGUCAUGAGUUUCUUUUCAGUAUUUUUAGUCCUUUAGUUUCAGUUUUGUUAGACUUAGCUGGGGCCUGUCCUAACAUUUCUAGUCAGUUAAAGGCUAUUUUCAGACAUAGUUAGAUUCAACUUAGUAUUGAGUUAAUAUCUUCUUUGUAUUAAACUCAUCAGUUUUCAUUUAUCUCAGUUAGAGUAUAUGGGUAUUCCCCAUCUUUUCAUUUUGUUUAUGAUUAUAGCUUCCGCACAGUUUCUAUUAUUCUGUUUAUAUUUAGUAUGCUCAUGAUCAUGCCAGAAGGGUUAGCUUGGGAUCACUUGUGUCCUAGGUCCCGUGUCUGCGUCUCGGGGGUAGUUCGGAGCGUGACAAUGUGUAUAAAAAAAAUAGACAGAGACCAAAUCUGAUAAAUUUUUAAAUACUUAAAAAAUAUAAAAUCGGUAAGUGUAUAGUUAAGCGACCAUACUUGAUAACAUUUGGGAUAGUUAAAGGAUAAAAUCCGAUAAAUGUAUAGUUAAAAGACUAUUUUAGACCUAUUACAAUAGUUCAGAGAUCAUUUAUGACUUUUUUUCUCCGUAAUUACAAGUGACAAUUGCCAAAAAGAAUAAUACAAGUGCUUCACAAAAAAUAGACAAAGUUCAUUCGUUAAUUGGUGAGGGAAAAAAUUAAUACCAACAAAUUCGAUAGAUUUUGUAAAAAUAAAAAAAAUCAAUUCAUCAAUUAUAUUUCCUUAAAUUACAAAAUUAUAAAAUGCAUCUUUUGAAAAAUACAAUUCAGAUUAUAAGUACCGUGAGUGGGUACUAUUCUACCAUUACAUCACAAAUAUUCUUUGGUUUAAGACAUUUUAUUUUUUAUUUGAUACACUUUCAUCGAUAAAGACGAUAUAAAAAAUAAUUUAUCAAGUCUUGGUGCUAAUUUUUGUGCGUGUCUAUCGAUUUUGUGGUUUAUAAACUGUAUAGACUAAGUCGAUCUAUUUGGUUCUGUCUAAAAAUGCGUAGUUAGUAGUGAUUUCACAUAUGUAGAGGACCUAUACACAGAUAAUAUCGAUUUACAAACUUAGAUUUUGUAAAGAUGUGAAAUAUUACAUGAAUUUCUAUUAACCUUUUUCAUCCGUGUGAAAUUUGAAAUAACAAAAAAAAAAAUUGAUAGCACAAAUGAAAUAAAUUAACCAACUAAGAUUUCAAAUAUAUUAUGAUAAAUUACUAUAGUUAUGGGUUUCAAUAUGUUUUUUAAAUCGAUUUACUGAUUGAAUCAAACCUAUUAUUACUUUUCUUUUAAUAAAAUCGAAAGUUUAAUUUUAUAUAAAUUUAUAAUUGUACUGAAUAAUUUUAAAAUAAAAAAUAACAGAAUUGUACUGAAUAUAUUUAGAGAUAUUUUCAAAAGUAUACAGUUUAAUAAAAUAACUACAUCUACAUAGCCCAUAUUUUUAAAACUACAUUUGUAUUGUCAUUUCCACAAGAUCGUAUACAACAUUAUACUUGUACAAAUGUAUAGAGUUGCACAUUAUAACUGUGCAUGAAUGUAUACACUUGUAUAUACAUGUAUAAUAGUGUAUAAAAGGUGUUUAUAUACAAUUUUAUAUUAUUAUACAUAAUUAAUAUUUCUAUUAUUCAUUAUUUCCUAUUGUGUAUGUAGGCAUGUAAUUUUUUACCGAACUUCAGAUUUUACACCAUUUUUAGUGUUUAAAUAUUUUGAUUUUUUUAUUAAGUUUAUUUUAAAUGAUGUGAAAGCCACAAAAAUUGAAUCACAUUUAAAGAUAAGUUUUAUUUUCAAUUGUUUAAAAAAGAAAUGAAAGGUUACAAAAAAUAUAUAUAUUCUUUUGAAUUAAGAUUAAUAAGAAGGUAAUAUUUCUUAACUAUAAUUUCAGAUUAGCUAUUUAAUUAUUUUUUUAUUUUUAUUAGUUCAAAACAAUUAGCUAAUAUUUUUAUUAUUAUAAUUUUUAAUUAUAUUUAAUUAAAAAUAAAAAUAACCUAAACCCACUUCCUAAUUAAAUCACCCCCCACUAACCUAAAGCUACCCCACAACUUCCUCAUCCUAACUAUCUGCUACGCACAACAUAAACCCCCUCACACACACACGACACAACACACCCUUAUAUCUACAAAAACAAAGCAUUUGACAUUCCUUUCAAACAAUAACAUUGCAACAUAUAUACACCCAUAUAUCUACAAAAAGCAGUCCUACAAAUAAAAAACCUACACUCCAAAAACAAAGAAAAUAAGAUCGAAUUCUUUCGUUCAUGAUUUUGAGUUCGUGGUAUUACAAGUAGUGGCAAGACGCACACUAUGCAGGUAAGUUACUCAUUUUGAAUACCUCCUUCUUUUUUGAAUUUGAGAGAAACAUUGUUUAUUUCUCCUUUAAGUUACUCAUAUAGAGAAAAUAUAUAUGACUAUAAAUACCACUAAUUUAUAAAGCAAUGUAGUUACAUUUACAAUGAAAAAAUAAUGAAACUUUUAUGUGUAAGAUGCUUUUUUUUUUUGGAGACAACCAAGGAAAUUAUUAUUAGAUCUAUUUUGGUGCUCUUAAGUGAAAUGUGUGAUUUUAAAUCUUGUUAAAACCUAUUGUCAUCAGUUUCCUACUGUUGUUGGCUUGCAUUUGUUAAUUAUUCUAUAUUACUUGUUAUUAUCAACUUCCUACAAAUAGGUAAUUUAAUAUAUUGUUCAUCUUUGAAGAAUUGAGUUGAUUAGUAAAUGUUAUAUUCUUUAAAUAAAUAUUAGAUAUAUAUAGUUGCUACUAUAGGAAGAAAAAGGAGCAACCGUUAAAUAUCCCCAAUUUCUUUAAACUGACAAUCGCAUAAUAGAUUAACAUGUUACUGCCCUUUUUUAUUCUAAUUGAAAGUUAGACAUGUACAAAUGACUUUUUGUGACCUUUUGGAUAGAUGAAAAUAAUUUAGUUAUUUUGAAGUAGAAAUCAAAUGUUUCAUUAACGAAACCCAACUAAAACUACAAAGUGUUGCAUCUUAAAGUGACAAAUUCGUUGUGUUUUGCUUAUAUGAUGUUUGUAUACAAAGAACUAAAAAUAUCUUCUUUAAAUGUCCGAGUUAGACCCUUGAAAAAAUGAAUGAGAAUUACAUUGUUGAUAACAUGCACCUAAUUAACAUGCAUAACAUUUUAAUUUUGAGUUAGAUUAAAAAAGAUUUUGACUUGCAAGUAUUUAUAUGUCGACUUUGAUUAAAAAAAGCCUUUUGGCUACUUUAUUUGUGUCAUUUCUUAGUCACAUAAAUUUGUUUUACAACUUGAUGGCUUUUUUCUAUUAUGUUCUAAAAAUUUACUUGAAUUUUAUUUUCUAGAACUCUCAUCCUUUUUUUCCUUUGCAACGAAAUGAAUGAGGCUAUAAAUUAUAGUUAUAUGUAGUUUCUCCUUUAAUUCAAGUCAUGUUUGAUUCUAAUGUGAGAAUUCCUACAUAGAUUACAUUAUAUUUUAAUAUUUAGUAGUUUUCAUGAAUGAUAAAAUCUAUACUAUAAAUUGAAAAUUACUAAUAUAUAUAUAUAUAUAUAUAUGGAAUUGUAAUACCAGGGACAAUCUAUCCAAUAAGCCUUAUAAAACUGGACAUUACAACCUAUGAAAGACAAUCAUGGUACAUAUUUUACUUUUGACUCUAGUAUAAACAUCUCAAUUUAAAUCUUACAUUUAUUUUUUGUCUUUUUUGUGUUACAGGUAUAAAAGGUGAGAAUUGAAUCAAGAUUGAUUGCAAGCUAAGUGUCAGCACAUUAUUGAUACUUUGGAAGGAACUUUUACUUUUAUGUCUUUGUUUAUGAGUAAUAUUUAGUAUAUUUCAGUUAGAUUUUUUUGUUAUUGGACAUAUUUUACUUUUAUUUAAGGAGUUUGUAAUGAGAAUUAUCUUAGUAUAAUUUUAGUUGUUUUAUUAUAUGAUCAUAGGUGAAUUUUAUCAUUAUAUAGCAUAUUUUACUAUUUAAUUUUCAAUAUGCAACUCUAAUUUAAUAAAUAAUGUCAAUACAAAAUAAUCAAAUGUCAUCAAUUAUUAGUGAUUAGUGACAAAAUAUUUUAUCAUCAAAGGUAACUUGUAGCAACGAUAAAAAUAAUUUUUUUAAGAUAAAUAUUUUGUCAUGAAAAAAUUAUUUCAUCACAAGUUGACUACAUUUAGUGACAAAAGUAUAUUGUCCUAGUGCCCCUUUUUAUUGAAUAUGAAUUAUUUUAUUGUUUUGUGACAAUAUCAUGAUAAUAUUUAGGACAAUAUAUGUUAUCGGUAAAAGAAAUCCUUUUAGUGACAAAUGAUAGAUUUAACCACAAAAUUAUUAACCUUUUUUAUAAUAAUAAAUUUGUCCAUAAUUUAUUUAUUUAAGGACAAAAUAUUUUUUGUAUAUAAAAAAUAGUCAUUAGCGACGAUAUUAGAUUUGUUCAACUACGAAAUAUAUAUAACUUUAGACACAAUUAGUGUCGUCACUGAUUGAACUAAAUAAUUAGCGACGAUAUAAUUUUGUCGGUAGUAAUAUCCCUUUUAGUGACAAAACAUACUAUUAACUACAAAAAAGUUACACUUUUUACGACAAAUAAAUUUGUCACAAAUGUUUAUGCAUUUGGAGACGAUUUUUAUUUUUGUAGUUAAUAUAAUACUUUUAGCGACGAAACACUAAAUUGACUUUGUAUACUUUUAGCGACACACAUUUAGUGACGACUGAUUGACGACAUUUUUUUCGUCACACAAAAUUUUUAGUGACGAAAUAUGAUUUAUAGAUGUCGAAAUUAUUUGUCCUUGAUAAUCAAAUUUGUUGUAGUGAGUUGUAAAUUCAUCAAAUUUUGCUAUUUAAAUUAUGGGUAGCUUUUUGUUGUUGUUUCAGAUUGGAUUUUGGCUGAGAGACUCAAUUGUAACUGAAUAACAAAGUCUAAGUCCAUCAAAAAAUCGUCUUUUUGAUUUGUCACCGGAGAAGAAUUUCAUUGACGACGAGCUGGUUUCCUCUGCGACAACAACAGUAUCUGAUUUCUUCUCCUCGUCCUUGGACGAUGGGGGUGGCGGUGGAACAGUGAGAGCAGUUUAACAACUAUUUCAACUCCACUAAAAAAAUUUUGCUCAGGUUUUGAAAGUUCUUCAACAGGUUUUGGAAGUUCUUCAGCUUUGUUGUUCUCUUCCUUAAACAAAGAAGAUGCAAUAAUUGAGGGUUCAAAUUGGCAAUGGCACGCGUCAUUUUUGCACUGGCUUGGAGUUGAAUUUUAGUCAUUCACGCGCUUCUCAAACGUGAUAUCACAUCCUCUAUGAAAAUGGGUUAAAAUGGUGUAUUUAUAAUGAUUGAAAAUGGUUUCGUGGGUAAUAGGACCCUCGCAAACUUUAAGUGUCUACUUGAAAAACAAGUAUAAGUUUGAUAGAGUAAUUAUGUAUUUUCUCUGUAAUUAUGAUCUAAGUAUGAGUAAAUGAAGAUAACUAUUGCAUAUGCUACUAAAAUAACUUGGGUACAUAAUGAAUUGUGUUGGGCCCGUGCAAAUUGCUUAUCUAGUAUAUAUAUAAGCUGACAAAAAGGUGGGCAAAAAACAAACAGAAAAGGGAAAAGAAAGAAAAUAAGGAAGGUAUAGUGUAGAAAAUUACCAACUUUUGUCUAGCAGUAAAAUCUUUCCUAGUUGGUAGAAUGGAAACUAUGGGAUAAACAAUGAUUAAAAGGGUGGAAUAAAUAAAUAAAGAAACACGAAAGUUUAAAAAAUCGUAUCUAUUUCAUCAUUAAAACGAAAAAAAAGUGGCAUCUUAGUAGUAGCAAUGAUUGAAUGGCAAUAGCAGGCUCCAAUCCAUACAAAAUCUUGUAGCAAUUUUGGGCCACGCACUGUUUGCCCUCGUGAUUCUAGGACUAGUACUAAGGACUUAGGAGGGACAAAUGAUCGAUUAAUUCUGAUAUGAGUUUAUUCGAUGUUUGAUUAAGAUAAAAUCGUGAAAUAGAUGAUUUAAGAAGUAGUUAUUUUAGGAUUAUGAUAUAAUUUUUAUUUUAUAUUGAGAAUGAGAUAACAAUUUUGAAAUAACUAAUUGUGAGAUAAUUUGUUCCAAUCAAAUGAGCCUUUAAGGGUUAAGAUAUAUUAGAGAUAAUAAUAUUGUUCUAGCCAAACACCCUAAGAUUUAGGAUAUAUUGGUAUUAAUUUUAAUAUUAUGUAAUUCUUUAUUUAGUACUUAGUAUUUUGACCUAUUGUGCACUUUAUUCAGUAAUGUAUUUGGUUAAUGGUGGGUGGGAAGAAGUAGGAUUGGAGUCAAAAUACUUAAAAUAUUAAUUGCAACUUUGCAAGUAAUCAAAGAUCUUCUAAUUAUGUGCUGAACAUGAAUGUAUGAUAAAAUGAUAAUCACGUGCCAAUUUGCUUUAACUCUUGGAAUUGUUUAUACAUAGUCAUUAUUUUGACAUUAAAAAAGAGUAUUUUUAUAAUCAAUCUUCGAAGAUAGUCUGUGCACGGUUCAAACGAUGAGUAAUAAAUUUUUAUUUUCCUCCAUAUAAAACACAAGGCUUUACGAUAUAAUAAAAUUAGAACUCGCGAUGUAAAAAAUUCAUAAAGAAGUGAACCAAUUAUGCACGAAUUAAAUGUAAACUAAAAUAAUUUAUAUUUUAUUUAAAAUUUUUAUUUUUAUUUCACCAAUCAAUACAAUAAACAAGACCCAAUUAGUAAUUCUGUUUACUUGAGAAAGUGUUGAUUUUUUUCUUCAAUUUUGUCACUUUUUGUCUUUCAACCUCUUAUUCAUGUACCUACGUGGCUUUUUCUCCUUCUCUAAUUCAUGUAGAAUUUAUAAAUAAUUAAUAUCGAGAUGCAAAAAUAAUAUCAAAAUGUUAGAAAUAAAAUGAAUCAGGUAAAAUUUUUUGAAUUUCAUAUUUUCCAUGAAUAAAAUUAUUAAAGUAUAGAUGUAGAAAAUUUGGAACAAUGAUGGGAAAAGAAAAACCAAAGAAAAAGAAUCAAAAAAAAGUAAGAAAGAGAAAUUCAUUAAAAAGAAGAUAGAAAAAGGAAUUUUGGCGAUUUUCUGAAAUGGGAACCAACUUUCCACUUGGCACAAUAUAAAUAGAGUCUCAUACAAGUAGUGUCAGCCACUUCAUAGUUGUGCCUUGUACAUAAUAAAAUUUUUCGUCAUCCCCUGUUCACUUUUAUUUGUCCAUAAAAGAUUUUGCACUCUAUAUAAGAAAUAAUAAAUAAAAUAAAUAACAUGCAUAUUUUAUUAUAAUACACAUAUUAAUUGGUGUAUGUAAAGUCUAAACCAACACAAAUAUACAUUUAAUUUGAUGUGAUAUUAUCCAUUUAUUCAAGCUUAUAUGAUAUUUCUAAAAAUAGCUCACACCAUGAUGUUCAUGUAUAUAAUCAUUGUACGUAUAAUCAGGAACAAGAGAAUAUUUCUUGAUUAAGCAUAAUCAUUUUAGUCAUUUUACUCGAGUUUUUGGCCAAAAACAUUCUUAAAUUAUACGCAUAACUUAAAUUACAUCCUUAAAUUAAUCUUCUUAACAAAAAAUAUCCUUCAAGUAUUUUAAACUUAACAACUUCCAUCCUUUUGUUAAAAUUUGACGAGAAAUUAACAGAAUUAUACAAAAAUAUGUGUAAUUCAUACUACUCUCAACAAAACUCCCUAAAUCACCAAAGCUUAAAAAAAUAUCUUCAUUCCGUGAUACAUCUAAAAUAUUAUUGUGAAUUCUUUUUUACAACAACACUUGGCAUUAUGCAGAUCCUUUUAUCAGCAACUUUGUUUUAAUUUAUUUUUAUUUGAUUUGAUAUUAAAAAUUACCAGUUGAAAUAUUUUUUUCUCAUUGAAUCUGCAAAAAAUGGUAGUGACCUGGGAUAACGAAAUUAUGUGUGAAAAGUUUUACUGAGAGUAGUGUGACCUGCACAUGUUUUUGUGUAAAAUCCAUUAAUUAUUUGACAAAAAAUUAACAAGAGGAUGAAAAUGGUUAAGUUUUAAAUACUUGGGGGAUGUUUUCUAUUAAGAAGGAUAAUUUAAGGAUGUAGUUUAAGUUGAGGGUAUAGUUUAGAGAUGGUAUUGGCCAAAAACUCCAUUUUACUCACAUAACACGUGAAAUCAAUUGCAUUGGCAUUCAUUUUCAUGACAUUCAGAAAAGAGCGAGUAAAAAUUAGUGGCAAGAACUAACCCCACACUCCCACCAUCUUCAGUACUCUAAAUUUUGUGCAUCAAACCAAAUAUACACCCCAACAUUCUACUCUUCACACUAAAGCAAUGCAUACCAAAACUUUUCUUUCUUCAUGCAUCUUACUUGUUCUUUUGUUCUCACUUUCAUCUUUCAAUGUAAGUAACCCUUAUGCCCUCUCUGUUUCAGUUUCUUGAAGUAAUCUUCAUUUGGUUUGGUACAAAAUUUGAUUUGGAUUUGGUUUUAACCAAAAUCAUAAUAGAAAAAAUUGAACCACACUAGUAUAGUACUUACACAUGUUAUUUAACUUAUUUAUUAUUUCAAUCGAAUCAUGAACACCCCUAAAUUAUUGAUUUGUCAUAACAAUUGUAACAUUGUGUACUCAUGGUACGGUGCCAGUGCAGGUUGUUGUGGCUAGAAAUGGAGACAAAUCUGGGAACCCAUUUACGCCAAAAGGUUAUCUGAUUAGAUACUGGAAUAAACAUGUCUCGAAUGACUUACCAAAGCCAUGGUUCCUUCUCAACAAGGCAUCUCCAUUGAAUGCUGCUCAAUAUGCAACUUACUCAAAGCUUGUUGCUGAUCAAAAUGCACUGACCACACAACUUCAAUCCUUUUGCUCUUCAGCAAAUCUCAUGUGCGCACCAGAUUUGUCACCAAGUCUCGAAAAACACACAGGAGAUAUCCACUUUGCCUCUUACGGCAACAAAAACUUCACCAAUUACGGAACCAAAGAAGCUGGAAUCGGAGUGAACUCCUUCAAAAACUAUACUGAGGAAGAAAAUUUCCCUAUGAAUUCUUUCAGGCGUUACGGUAGAGAUUCUCCCCGUGAUAAUCAAUUUGACAACUACGGCCCUGAUGGCAAUACAGCUGUCCAAAGUUUCAACAGCUAUAGCACAAAUACUCCAGGGGGUUCUGGCAAAUUCAAUAAUUACGGCCCAAAUAGCAAUGAUGCCAACAUGGGGUUCAAUUCCUAUGCUGACAAUGGAGCUGGUUCGGUCCAAAAAUUCACAAAUUAUGCCCCAAUUCGGUCUAAUAUCCCUAAUAUACACUUCACUUCCUAUUCCGACCACGGAACGGGUGGGGAACAAGAAUUCAAAUCCUACUCAGACGAUGCAAAUGAAGCUAAUCAAUCUUUCAUAAACUAUGGCAAAGAUGGGAAUGGUGCUAAUAGUAAAUUCAACAGCUAUGGAAACAAAGGCAGUAGUAUAAACAAAUUCAAAAACUAUGGCGUUGAAGGUAAUGGUAUAUCUGAGACUUUUACUAACUACAGAGAACAAUCAAGUUUUGGUAAUGACAGGUUCACUAACUAUGUUAAGGACGCAAAUGGCGGUGAAGCAAAUUUCACCAACUAUGGUCAAUCUACCGAUGAACUUGAUCCUGGUACUGAUGAAUUCACUACCUAUGGCAAAGGAGGUAAUGACCCACAUAUUAAUUUCAAGUCUUACGGAGGUGACAAACUCUUCAAAGGUUAUGUCAAAGACACUGCCACAUUUUCCAAUUACCGAAACAAAACUCCUUCAUUGAUCGGUGGCAAAAAGGUGAAUAACCGGUGGGUUGAGCCCGGAAAGUUUUUCCGGGAGAAGAUGUUGAAGAGUGGUACAAUCAUGCCUAUGCCAGAUAUUAAGGAUAAGAUGCCUAAAAGGUCCUUUUUGCCCCGGGUGAUUGCUGCGAAAUUACCCUUUUCUACCUCAAAAAUUGGUGAGCUGAAGAAAAUUUUCCAUGCCGCCAAUGAUUUUCAGGUGGCAAAGAUGAUCGGCGAUGCAUUGAGUGAGUGUGAAAGAGCACCAAGCGCCGGCGAGACGAAACGGUGUGCUAACUCAGCUGAAGAUAUGAUUGAUUUCGCAAUAUCAGUGUUGGGUCAAAAUGUGGUGGUUCGAACGACUGAGAAUACAAAAGGAUCAAACGGUAAUAUCAUGAUAGGAUCAGUCAAAGGAAUCAACGGUGGAAAAGUCACUAAAUCAGUAUCAUGUCAUCAGACCUUGUACCCUUCCUUAUUGUAUUACUGUCAUUCGGUUCCUAAAGUCCGGGUCUAUGAAGUGGAUAUUUUGGACCCGAAUUCAAAGGCUAAGAUCAAUCACGGCAUUGCCAUUUGCCAUGUGGAUACUUCUUUAUGGGGACCCAAGCAUGGAGCCUUCAAUGCACUCGGGUCAGGACCUGGGAAAAUAGAGGUUUGUCACUGGAUCUUUGAGAAUGACAUGACUUGGGCAAUUGCUGAUUGAGCUCGAUCUAGGUGUGUUUACAAUAUGUGGAAAAUUAAGUUUGAAUGGCUAUUAGGUUAUGUAUUUGUCUAUCUAUUGUUGUCUCUGUAUGUGGGGAAAAGUAAUGUACUCCCUAUGUUCACUUUUAUUUGUCGCACUUUUGUUAAGAAAUAAUAAAUAAAACGCAUAUUUUAUUAAAAUAUUUACAUUAAUUUUUGUAUAGUUUCAAUGAACUUGAGAAAUAAUUUGAAAAAGAAUAAAUAGUUAAUGUUAAGGAUAAUGGAGAAGAAAAAUACAUAUUUUUUUCAUAUACUAAAGAGUACUCUGAGUCUGAGGUUACAAAAUUUUAAUCGCUCUAAGUUUCAAACCUCUAAGAAUGCAAAAGAAUAAUCUAUGCCAGAAGAGAAUUAUGGGCAAACCUUGAAAAUCAAACCAAAAGAGAAAGAUGCAUAAACCAUUAAAAGCUUAAACAAAAAAUUGAUUAGUUGUAUGUUUAUGCCAGAAGACUAGUCUGCCCAUAUAAUUGGGCCAUCUCCACAAGAGAAAGACCUCACGAAAAGGAUAAGAAAUAGAGAUUUCGAAGAUGUGCACCUCAUUAGCAAAGGUUCUUAAAAUCACUUUGACUAUUACUAAGCAAUCAAUCAGGACAACAUUUUCCUGCAUAUCGGUCAUACUCCUCAUGUAAAAAUUGAAAAAAGAAAAGGUUCGAAAAGUCUCUAACAUAUCAAGUAUGGUUUAAAAUUUGUCCUUCUAAUUGUUGGAUCCUAAUUGAUGGAGUACUGUUACAAAGAACCCUAUUACUAAUUUUAUUAUUCAUGCUUUCCCCCAAUAAUUUGUUGGGAGAUAUGGAGAGCGAGAUGCUCUAAAAAAUUUGAUGCUUUUAAGCCUUCUGUAUACAGAACUAAAGCUAACAUUCUUUUUAUCAUUGUGCAAAUUUCCAAGAAUAAAUUUGGCAAAGUUAGCAUCGUAAAGUCUUGGAGAAAUAUAUUAUAUACAUUACAUUCUGAAUGCCGAAAUUCAUCACAGAACCACUACCACAGUUAAAUAGAUAAAACCUCCUAAUAUGUCUGUAAAACUCAACAGUGAUGGUAGUUGCAUUCAAGGCCGUUGUGGUGGAGGUGGUCUGAUUAGAAACUCAUUUGGGAACGUCUUGUUUGCUUACUGCAUCAACUUGGGACCUGGUAUGAGCAGUGGCGGAGGCAGGAAUUCUAUCAAGGGGGUUCAAAUAAAAAAAAUGUUGUUGCCUGGAAUCGAACCCGUGACCCAAAGCUCACAUAGGCUGAAUCCUGACCCCCAUAAACCACUGAGCUACUCCUUUGACAUAUGCUCAGGGGGUUCAAUUUUAAAUAUAUACACGUACACAAAAAAAUUGAUCUUAUAUAUAUAGUGUAAUUUUUUUUCCGAAUCCGACCCCCCUGGACACACUAUAGAUCCGCCCCUGGGUAUGAGCAACAUCGCAAAAAUGGUUGUUCUUCUUUUUGGCCUUAAAUGGUGUCCUAAUAGAGGCUUCUCUAAAGUCUGGGUUGAAACAAACUCCAUGCUGUUAGCCAAAUGUAUUAACAAAGAUUGGGACACGCAGUGAAGGAUUAAUGAUAUGAUUCAAGAUGCCAGAAAAUUAAUCGAAGAGCAUGGUUACCAUAUUAGUCAUUGCUUUAGGGAGGCUAAUAAACCCGCUGACAAGCUUGCCACCUUAAGUCGUGGUAUUAAAGGGCUUCAUCUCUUCAACUCUUUUUCGGUCCUUCCUAAGCAAGUUAGAGGUCUUUACAAUAUGGAUAGAUUGGAUUUCCCAACUUUAGAACUAAACCAAUGAGCCCUGUUAAUAUUAUUUAUGAGCCCCUAAAUUGUAUGUUUUGAGCUAAUCUGGACCCCCCCCCCUCCCCCUUUUUUGGUGACACUUAGUAGAACAGUUUUACAUUGUUACUAUCCCUUUAUCAUGUCAAAGUUUGGGAUGUCAAACUCAAAGUUAUACUUUUGCCCAAAUCAAUGAUCAAAGUUGAUUAUUUUUUUUAAAAAAAAAAAUAGGUUAAAAAUUGUUAAGAAGUCCCACAUCGGUAGAGGGAUGGAAAAUUAAUCUCCUUAUAUGAACUUGGACAAACCUUCCCUCGUGAGCUAGCUUUUGGGGUUGAGUUAGGCCCAUAUGUCAUAUCUUCACAUGGUAUCAGAGUUAGGUUCGUCCCAAUUUGUUGUUCACCGAUGUUGGGCCCUCAUUUAGAAGUGUUCAUGCUCCAGUUGAGGUCUAGGCGUGCGGGGAGUGUUAAGAAGUCACACAUCGGUAUAUGGAUGGGGAAUUGGUCUCCUUAUAUGGACUUGGACAACCUCCCCUCAUGAGCUAGCUUUUGAGGUUGAGUUAGGCCCAGGUGUCAUAUCUUUACAAAAAAAAAUUCCCUCCUUUCAUCUAUUGAAUCUCAAUUCCCUUGAUGUUUAUUUUUGGCUUAAAAACAUUCCUCCUUCAAAUGAUAUUAUGAAAUGACAGAUAUCAUACUUUAAUUAAAUAGGUAGCGAUUACUCUAUUAGUACACAUACGUGACCCCAAUCAGUAAUAACCCAAGUGGCCAUCUUGAUUAAACCAAAACAUCUAGAUAUUAUAGUCGAAAGAGCAAUAUGAUCUGAAUGUUAUGACCUUGAUAAUUGUUAGUUUUAAGUGUCUACUUUUAGUACUAUCCUUUCAAUUAAUCAGGAUGGAUUAACCAGCUUUGAUAAUUGACGUAUUACCUAUACCAAAAAACUAAUAAUAUACCAUUGCUUCAUUAGUGCACAGGAAAAUUUGGAUUUUAAGCAUUUUAAUAUUAUUUUAAAGUGCAUAGUUCAUAAUUGUGAAAUGUCAAAUGUGUUGCACGUUUGUGGCAUUUGUUGUGCAACAUUUGCUUUGUUCCUUGAUGACAUUAUAUGCCUCCAUUAUUCAUAUAUUAAUUGUUGUAGAGUGUGGUCAUUAGUUAUUAGCAACUUUUGUAACCUCUUGUUAUUUAUCCAUUAUUCUAACUAAUUAUUCUUGUAACCUAUGUAACCUUUAGACAAUUCAAUUAUCCUAUUUAUAGUUAUCUCAUAAUCUUCCUAUUCAUUGCAAGGAAGAAUUCAUCACCUAUAAAUAGUGAUGAUUUUACUUUGUUUUGAGGAUAUGAAAUGUACAAGAAAAUAGAGUGAAAAAGAUGAGGAGUACUAUAUUGAUGUUAGUGUAGUGAAAAUGUCACGACCCAAAAAAUGGCGUGAUGACGCUCGUCUAAUCCCACCAAGACAAGUCAACCUCAAAUCCAACAAAAUGAAAGAAAUGUGGAAGUAAAAAAAUAGUAGCAUAAGAACGGAAAACUUUGCCAAUUUCAUAGAGCACCCCCAAAAUCUGGUUGUCACGUGCACAAGUCUCUAAUGUAUAAAACAAAAUUGAAAGAUAAUACAAGUCACAAAGUCUUUGAUUCUCAAAUAGAAUAAAACAUAAUGUAAGGAACAAGAGGGCUCGCCGGGAUGACAAACACACAACUACCUUUCAAUGUAUCCUCAGAAAACCUCAGAGAAAGAUGAAGGAAAAAAGAUCACAUGAGCUCGAGCUCGGAACCUACACAAGUGUAGAAGCAGGGGUGAGUACUAAACAACACGGUACUCAACAAGCAACCUACUAAACAAGGCAAAACUAAGUUAAAAUAUGAGUACUCAUUUCAUCUCAACCAAACCACCUCAACUACAACAUGCAUAGAAAUCAACCCAACAUAAUAGUUUUACAAUGCACUACUCACAUGACUUAACAAUUAUAGUCCAACAAUCACAGUUCAACAACCAACAAUAUCAAGUAUGUCAAUCACAAGUAUCAAGUAGAUCAAUCACAAUUAUCAAGUAGAUCAAUUACAAGUUUCAAGUAGAUCAAUCUGAAGUAUCAAGUUCAUCAAAUCACAAUUGUCAAAUACGUGUCAUAACCCUUUCCCAUCGACACAAUAUCACUAGCCGGAAUCAUUUUCCAUCGGCUUUAUAUAGUAUCACAUGCCGGAAUCAUUUUUCUUCGGCACAAUAUCACUAGCCGGAACCAUUUACCUUCGGCUUUAUAUAAUAUCACUUACCGAAAUCAUUUUUCUUCGACACAAUAUCACUAGACAGAACCAUUUCCUUUCGGCUUAAUCAUCACAUGUCUCAUCACGAUGCACAUAAAUCAAUGCAAAUAAGUAAUUUCACGCCAUAAGAAAGAGACAAUAACUCAAGCAAGUCAAGUCCACAAUAAUGUCAUCAAAGCAUUUCAUCAAUCAACAAAUUAGGGUGAUCCACAACAAGGUAAUACACAAAGCACAACUAUCAACACAUUGUCUUUUUCAUUAAUUCCAUUUUUUAUUCAUUAAGAUCGAUCAAGUGGGAUAAUCGAACCCAUCAGCUCAUUCUCAUUAUUCUCCAACACUGGUGAUGGCAAAUGGGCGGGUUGGGUCAAAUUUGGGUGGGUUGAAAUGGGUCAACAUAAAAUGGAUAAUAAUUCAACCUGCCCAUAUUUGAUAUGGGUAAAAAUGGAUUGGGUAACAAAUGGGUUGGGUAAAAUACUAGUUUACCCAUAUUUAUCCAUAUUUUCAUGAGCAAAUAGUACUUUACUUGAGAAUUCAACAUGGAGAAAACAUUUUAGUCUUUUUUAGAUGAAAAUUGUUGAAAACGCUUCAUUUAGUUUUAUUGUAUCAUAAAAGUAAAUAAAAAAACCCUAUAACUUUUCAAUAUAAAAUAAAUUUAUGUAAGUACAACGGGAAAAUAUUUUUAAUUUCAAAGUAAAUGAAUAUUUGCAUUUUAGAACUAAAACAUGAUUAAUGCACUUUAAGCAAUGUCAAUACUAAUACAUGAUUUGCUUAUUUUACACUAUUAUUUAUUAUUCAAUAUAAAAUUAAAUAAAUAAAAAAUAUAAUUAUAAUUAACAAAAGAAAUGUACAUUUAAAUAUAUAUAUUUUUGGAGGGCCAAAGACUUCACCUUUUCAAUUAUAGAGAAAAAUAAUUAGUUCUAUACAAGAACAUAAAAAGGAAGAGAAGUUACAAUAUUUUUAGUGAUAUCAUGAAUUUUGAGUGAAUAAAAGUUAGAAGCAUAACCCAUUUGGCUAAUCCAUAUUUUACCAUUAAUUUAAUGGGUUGAUACCCAUAUUUUACCCAUGUAAAAAGUCACUCACCCAAUCCAUCAAAUUUUGGACGGGUUAUCAAAAUAUGGGCUCAUUUUGUCGGUACUAUCCAACACACACAACGAAGGGAAAUACAAGAUUCUACAAAGCUUACAGGUUUUAGAAGCUCACUUCUUUCUAUUAAAUCAAAAGUCAAUCUGAGACUUCAAUUUUUCCUUUUCGAACAAUGUCCAAAGCCACACAAUCUAAUCCGGCAAGUAGUCACAAUAAGAUUUCAGAAAUAACAACACAUAUAUCAUACACUUUUAAAAAUUGGUUCUAAAAAUGAGAUUUGAAAUAAAAAAUCUUUACUUGAAAAUGUUAUCCAAGGCAUUUGUAACACAUUGGUGAAAACCAUAUUUUUAAACGGAAAAUGACCUAAAAUACCCUUAAACUAUGACUUUUGGUACAAUAAUACCCUCCGUUAAACUUUCAGGCCAAAAAUAUCCCUGACGUCAACCUUUCGGCUCUAAAUUACCCUUAGUUUAAACGGUUCUAUCUGAAAAUAUAAUUACAAAAUUCAUUUAUUAUGUGGCACAAUACUAUUGGUUGAUUUUAAAAUAAACUAAUUAAUUAAAUUUCCAACCCACAACCCGAAUCUACUUAAUAAGGUUGAUGUCAGGGCAUUUUUGGCCUGAAAGGUUAACGAAGGGUAUUAUUGUACCAAAAUUCAUAGUUCAAGGGUAUUUUAGGCCCUUUUCCAUUAUUUUAAAAAAAGAGUCACAAUCAUUACACAAUCAUCAUUUUAUCAAGUUCCUUGGGUUCUUGAAGAAAUCUCAAAUUAUCAUUCCAAAAACAUUAAUUUGAAUGCUUAAAUUCAUUAAUAACAAUGGGUAAAUGAAGAUUUAAGGCUAGGAAUUGUUACCCAGCUAUUUGUUCUCAAAAACCGUGUUCAAAUCGCCACACAAAAGCACCCCAAACUCUAAAAAUGGUGAAAUAGGGUCAAAACCCCGAUUUUGAAAAAAUAAAAUCCCAGGUAUAAAAUGCUCAUUGUGAUUACGAUGAUCAAAAGCUCGUGAUCGCGUUGAGUUAAAAAGGUCAACUCACUUACGCUGACAAUCGCGAUUGCGACUGAGCUUUAAUUGUAAUGCACAUAGAAAAUGCUCUAUGCGAUUGCAAGAGAAGACCAAGCGAUCGCGAUGAACAAAAUACAAUGCACCUGACAACAAAAACCUGCAAUUUAUACAAGUCACAAAAGUUUUCAAAAUGAACUUCGAGAUUCGUUCAGAAUCUCGUUUUGCAACACCCCGAAAAAUGAUAGGUUAAACUAGAGCCUAAAUGUAAGGUUAAAAGUUGUAAAAUGACUACCCAAAUUUUAAUAAAUCAUUUAAGGUUGAAAUAAGGUUAUUUGAGUCAAGACCAAGGGACACGUGCCAAGGCGAAGGGGCCAAGCCAAGGCUGCCCCUAGCUAGGAGCACACUGCCCCACCUUCACGAGAGGGACCACAUAUCGUGGUCCACUCCACGACUCGUGGAGGUGGUUGUGAAGUUCCCUUGGCCUUGGAAAAGUGGCCACCCAAAAACUUAGCCACUACCUCAACUUCACGGAAGGGACCACGACUUGUGGUCUUGACCACGACUCGUGGAGCCCUUCGUGAAAGAGACUUAGGCAUGGGGGCAUGAGGUAGGCUAGAUAUUGCCUCUCCCCUCAUGAGCAGGACCACGAGUUGUGGUCCACUUCAUGGCUCGUGAAGGGGCUCGUAAGGAUGCCUUGGACAAAUGAGCCUUGUGCUCCAAAAACAUGGCCAUUGUCUCACUUUCACGGGCAGGACCAUGGGUCAUGGUCCACACCACGGCUCGUGAAAGUGGCCCGUGGCCCCUGACGAAGUGAAUUAAAUGAGGGUUAGUUGGGUCAUUUCCCUUUUAGUCCAAUUAAAGUAGGGUUGUUUUGGGUAUUUUUAGGGGAAGUAUAUAAGUUGUUUUUAAGUCAAAUUUAACAAGACUAAGUCAUUGUUCACAAACACCUAAUUGAAAUAAAAAAAAAACUUCCUCCUUUCUCAAUAUUUUUCUCUCUAGACACAAAGAAGAAGAAUAAAUGAGCCAUUGAAGCUAGGGUUUGUGGAUUUUUAGGGUUCUUCCCCAAAUUUCUUGGAGUUUCUUAGUCAAUGUAUGGAUACUUUUCAUCAUUGGGUAUCUAUCACCCAAAGAGCCCCUUCAAAAUAUGCUUUCAAGAUUUCACAUCCCCCAAACAUAGGGUUUUCAAUCAAUUAUCAUGGGUCUUCUUCCAAAACAUUUUCCAUUGUUUAAUUGUGGUUUAUUAUGGUUGAUUAUGAUGAUUUAUGAUUGGAAUGUUGGAUUAUGAUGAAAAUCUCUCUUGGACCCAUGAUUUCCCCUUCUUCCUAAAUUGUAAACUAUGGUAUGACUUGAUAGAUGAUGGGAGCUUGACAAUUGAUUAUGUUUACAUUGAUUAAGUUGUUGAAUUAUGAUAUCCCUAUAUCUAAUAUGGCAAUUCUAUAAGUUAGGGUUGAUAUUGACUCAUAGCCUUGAAGGGUAACUUGUUAGGGUUUAUACAUGUUUAUGAGGAUUGUAUAUGAACUUGUGAUUCACUUAGUUAGUGAUGAUCCUCUGACUAUUAUGUAAUUGUGGUAUUGAUGCAAGAUCCUUCUUCCCUAUACCCUUACACUUGAUUAUGCUUGAAAUAUGUAUGUAUGUUUAUGAUAAGCUUGUUGUGUUGAUUGAAAGACCAUUCUUAUGAACACACUAUGAAUGUGAUGUGAAAGGUUUACUCACAUGUUGAUGAUUCUAAGGUUGAAAGGACAUCCUCACCUAAUGAAUCUAUGAGCUAUUAUGAUGUAAGUUGGUUUGAGUGCCUAGUGCAUUCUCUCAUGAACAUGAAUUUAAGUAAAAACUUAAUAUGACUAAAGGGAAUUAGGCUUAGCACCGAGUGGAUAUGAAAAUGAGAUGGAAGCUUUUACAUUAGAAAGUCCGAUUUCCCAAUGUAAGUUAUCUCAUAAGAUGGAAACCUUUUACAUUACAAAGUCCGAGUUUCUAGUAGCAAUCUUCUUAUCAUAUAACUAUGUGCCCACAUAGGUCUUUAGCUAGUGGAUCAACCUAAAAGCUAUUAUGUAAGUUCUACCCUAGGCAAGUAGGACAUCUUUUUUCUGUGUGAAGUAAAACACCGGAUUCCAUGUAGCUCACAUGGUCUAUGUCGGUUAAAGUAUUUUCCCUAUAUGAUACGAAUAUGAACUAUGAUAAGAACAUGAAUACUGCUGCUGAAGAGGUCUACUCAGUCGUCUGUCGGGACCUGCAUGAAAGGCAAUAGACUAUGAGUAGAUAUCAUAAUAUACUGGAAUAAUUCGAUAAAUAAAUCAAGGAUAAGAUAAUUGUACUGACCUGCUCCUAAAUCUAAACUUAUCAAAAAUAAUAAAACAACAACCUAACCAAGCCCCCAUAAGCUCGGUAGGUACAAACAACAGACAAGACCAUCUACUCAGGGCCCUAUAAGCCUGAAAGGUGCCAAUUAGUCUAUAUACCCCUAUCAGUAGUCCCCUAGCCCUGUAGGCAGUCACAUAGCCCUCUUAGGCAUUAAUAUANNNNNNNNAGCCUAUAUACCCCUAUCGGUAGUCCCCUAGCCCCGUAGGCAGUCACAUAGCCCUCUUAGGUAAUAGUACAGCUGUGUAGGCAGCACAUAGCUCUCUUAGGCAUCAAUAUAGCUUAUAGACAGCUCAUAGCCCUCUUAGGUAACAACAUAGCCAUGUAGAAAGCACAUAGCCUUCUUAGGCGUCAAUAUAGCCUUGUAGGCAACUCAUAGCCCUUCUAGGUAUCAAUAUAGCCUUGUAGGCAACUCAUAGCCCUUUUAGGCAUCCAUUUAUUUCCAUAGGCAGAACAUAGCCCUUCUAGGCAUAGAUCACAUUCCUGCAGCUAACCACAAUUAGCCCAAAGGGAAACAAUAACAAUCCAAUCGCUAAAAGUGAGCCAUAUAGUUAUAAGUAACCUGUACAAAUAGCCUCUAAGUCAUGUCCAGCAUAGGGACGCUACUAACUGAAUAAGAAUCCCGACAUGAGAGGAUUAUAUGAACUCGAGCAGCCAACAAUCAACAAUAACAACUACAAGUAUAUCACGAAUAACAACCCAAUUACAUUGCUCCUAAGAUUUAAGGAAACAUGUCAUAAGUAGGGAUUAGCCUUAACAUACCUUUUUUUGCUGAAUUCACGUGGCCUAACGACUUUUACUCAUAACCCCCUCGAUACUACAACAAGGCAGGACCAUAAUCAACACACAAAAAUAGAAAAUACCAUGAUAAUUCGAUAAAAGGUGUGUAUUUCCGUCGCAAAUUGCUAUUUGCUAUUUACAAAAGCUAGAGUCGAUGAAAGAAGAGUCUUACCUCGAUCUUAAAUUCGUAAUACGCCUCAAAACCUUCAAAUAUGUCCAAACCCUUGCUGUCCCAACACUAAAGGGUGAUAUGCUACAAAAUCGAUAAAACAAAUUAUACCACGAUGAUGAGCCCAACACGUAGAACAACUUUCGUCAAGGACUUAAGUCUAGAAAAUCUAUACUUUAGUUUAUCCUAGAAUGGGUUUCUCUAAUUUUUCAAGUUCUUAGCUAAAAAAUGAAGAAAAGGUCGAAGAAGAAGAUGUAUAUAAAGUUCCACCAACCUAAGGCCCUACCUCAUGUGCCUGCUUGCGCAGUCCUACAAAAAUGCGAAUACCUCUUUAUUCUGAAGUUGUAUGAGCAAAAUAUUUGAUAUGUUGACAACUAGACUCGUAGACCUUCGAUUUCAUAGGUCGUAGACCUCAUAACUCUUUAUAUAUUGGGAGAAAACCUCCGAGAUAUUUGACCCAAAUUUCAGAGAAAUCUUUUAAAAGGAACUUACAGUAACUUUCGCCAACUUUCAUUUUGCCACUUACCUAACUUCAAAACUUGAGAUACAACCCUUGAACACUUAAAAUAUGACAUACCACAUCAUUCUUAAUUUAUUACCCACUCUCCUAGUCUUUUCGUGAAGAUACGAGUAAUUUCAUACCUUUCAAAAAGGCAGGGUGUUAGAGUUACGAUGGGUUUGUGGUAUAUUGUGAUGCUUCUCGAGUGGGUUUGGGAUGUGUCCUUAUGAAACAUGGUAAAUUAAUUGCCUAUGCUUCAAGGCAACUCAAGAUACAUGAAAAAAUUUAUCAAACUCAUGAUAUCAAAUUAGUAGCGGUGGUAUUUGCCUUGAAAAUAUGGAGGCACUACCUAUAUGGGGUCCAUAUAGAUGUUUUCACCAAUCAUAAGAGUCUUCAAUAUGUGUUUACCCAAAAGGACUAGAAUCUCCGACAAAGAAGGUGGUUAGAGCUUUUAAAGGAUUAUGACAUGAGUGUUCUUUACCACCCCGUCAAAGCCAAUGUAGUUGCGGAUGCCCUAAGUCGAAUGUCCAUGGGUAGUGUGGCUCAUGUAGUAUAUGAGAAGAAGGAAUUGGUUCAUGAUGUGCAUAGGUUGGCCCGGUUAGGUGUCCAACUAGUGGAUUCCACCAAGGGUGGUGUCAUGGUCCAUUAUAGUUCCGAAUCAUCUUUUGUUAUAGAUGUAAAGUCUAAGCAACAUUUUUAUCCUAUCUUGAUGGAGUUGAAAAAUUUGGUACUCCACAAGUCUGUUGAGGCUUUCUCCCAAGGGGGAGAUGGGGUGUUUAGGUACCAAGGUAGAUUAUGUGUUCCGGAUGUUAAUGGAUUAAGAGAGCAAAUUUUAGAAGAGGCUCAUGGUUCGCGGUAUUCAUUUAUCCGGGAGCCACCAAGAUGUACCAUGACCUACGCAAAGUCUAUUAAUGGAAUGGUAUGAAGAAGGAUAUAGAGGAUUUUGUAGCCAAAUGUCCGAAUUGCCAAUAAGUUAAGGCCGAGCAUCAAAGGCCCAGAGAGUUGUCCCAAAAUAUAGAUAUCCCCACUUGAAAGUGGGAGGAUGUGAAUAUGUAUUUUAUUGUGGGUUUGCCUCGUACUCGAAGGCAACAUGAUUCUAUUUGGGUAAUUGUUGAUAGAAUGACAAAGUUCACCCACUUUAUUCCCGUCAAGACUUCAUUUUUGGCGGAGGACUAUGCCAAGUUGUACAUCAAUUAGAUAGUGAAGUUGCAUGGGGUUCCCUUAUCUAUCAUUUCGGAUUGGGGGUACUCAAUUUACUUCACACUUUUGGAAGGCAUUCCAAAAAGGGAUUGGUACUAAUGUUAAGCUUAGUACCGCUUUCCACCCUUAAACGGAUGGUCAAGCGGAACACACCAUUAAAACCUUAGAGGACAUGUUGAUGGCAUGUGUGAUAGAUUUCAAGGGUAGAUGGAUGACCAUCUCCCAUUGAUUGAGUUUGCCUACAACAAUAGUUACUACUCAAGCAUUGUCAUGGCUCCGUUUGAAGCCCUAUAUGGUAGGAGUUGUAGAUCUCCGGUUGGUUGGUUUUGAAGUAGGUGAAAAUGCUCUAAUUGGUCCCGAAUUAGUUUAUGAGGCCAUUGAAAAAGUUCGACUUAUUAGAGAAAGGUUGAAAACGGCCCAAAGUCGGCAAAAGUCUUAUGCCGACAAUAGAAAAAGGGAUCUAGAAUUUGAGGUUGGUGAUUGGGUCUAUUUGAAAAUCUCACCUAUGAAAGGUGUGAUGAGGUUUGACAAGAAUGGGAAACCUAGUCCCCGGUAUAUAGGCCUUUAUCAAGUUUUGAAGCGUAUUGGGAAAGUUGCCUAUGAGUUAGACUUGUAGAAUGAGUUCGCUCCGGUUCACCUGGUAUUUCAUGUGUCUAUGCUUAAGAAGUAUAUUGGUGAUCCGGUAUCCAUCAUUCUUUUAGAAGGUUUGGGAGUUGAUAAGAGUUUUUCAUGUGAAGAGAUUUCGGUAGAGAUCUUAGACCGGCAAGUCAAGAGAUUAAGAAAUAAAGAAGUAGCUUCCAUUAAGGUUUAUGGAGAAAUCACUUAGUUGAGGGUGGUAUAUGGGAGGCCGAGGCCGAUAUAAAGUCCCGUUAUCCUUAUCUUUUUCCUUUUACUCUUAUCCAAACUUGAGGUAAGUAGUUUUCUUGAGUUGGUGUUUUUGGAAGUCAUAUGUGCUAUAAUUGUUCUUUAUGAUUUCCUUAUGAUAUAAAUGUUCUUGUGAGAAUUCAUAUUUAGCAUAAAUUGAGUUUCAUGAUUUAUAUGUUCCUCAUGUUGAUUUGCAUUUUAGUAUGAUGAUUGCAUAUUUAACUUCAUGAGAUGAUAUGAUGAACAUGCUUAGUUAUGCUUUUGAUGAAAUGGCAUAUUGGCUCCAUAUUGUUGUGUUGAGCUUGCUUUGAGUUGGAGAAGGUAGUUCCUCCUAUGAUUAUGUGAAAUGAUGAGUUUUGUGCAUAAUGGAUUGUGGAUGUAGUUCCUACUUCUUUGUGAUUGCAUUGAUUAUGUCUUGAAAUGGAGUUGAUGUUUCCUCCUACUAAUUGUGCCUUCUGUUAUGUUACAUGCAUGAUGGGCUGCUAGUCGUGAGUCUUUAUUUCUGUAAGGUGUCUAAAUCAUCAUUCAAGGACGAAUGUUCCCAAGGGGGAGAUAAUGUAACACCCUGGAAAAUGAUAUGUUAAACUAGAGCCUAAACGUAAGGUUAAAAGUCGUAAAAUGACUCCCUGAAUUUUAAAAAGUCAUUUAAGGUUGAAAUAAGGUUAUUUGAGUCAAGAGCAAGGGACAAGUGCCAAAGCGAAUGGGCCAAGCCAAGGUCAAAGGCCAAGGCUUCCUAUAGCUAGGAGCACACUGCCCCACCUUCACGAGAGGGACCAUGGAUCGUGGACCACUCCACGACUCGUGGAGGUGGUCGUGAAGUUCCCUUGGCCUUGGAAAAGUGGCAACCCAAAACCUUAGCUACUGCCUCAACUUCAUGGAAGGGACCACGACUCAUGGUCUUGACCACGGCUCGUAGAGCCCUUCAUGAAUGAUACUUGGGCAUGGGGGCAUGAGGUAGCCUAGCUACUGCAUCACCCCUCACAAGCAGGACCACAGGUCGUGGUCCACUUCAUGGCUCGUGAGGAUGCCUUGGAGAAAUGAGUCUUGUGCUCCAAAAACAUGGCCACUGCCUCACCUUCACGGGCAGGACCACGAGUCGUGGUCCACACCACGGCUCGUGAAGAUGGCCCGUAGUACCCGACGAGGUGAGUUAAAUGAGGGUUAGUUGGGUCAUUUCCCUUUUAGUCCAAUUAAAGUGGGGUUGUUUUGGGUAUUUUUAGGGGAAGUAUAUAAGUUGUUUUUAAGUCAAAUUUCACAAGACUAAGUCAUUAUUCACAAACACCUAAUUGAAAUCAAAUAAGCUUCCUCUUCUCUCAAUAUUUCUCUCUCUAGACACAAAAAAGAAUAAAUGAGCCAUUGAAGCUACGGUUUGUGGAUUUUCAAGUUUUUUCCCCAAAUUUCUUGGAGUUUCUUAGUAAAUGUAUGGAUGUUUUUCAUCUUUGGGUAGCUAUCACCCAAAGAGCCCCUUCAAACUAUGUUUUCAAGAUUUCAAAUCUCCCUUUUCAUAUUUUGGAAAAGGCAAAAUGAUUUAUCGUCAUAGCCAAAGUUCUUAUUUUCUUAUUUCAAAUGAAAAAUUUCUUUAUUGCGAAAAUUUAUUUUUACUUGCUUUAUAUUUGCUAUCUAACAGUAUCUGUCUAUGAUUUCAGUGAAAAUAUUUUCAAAUCUGUCAAUAUCAUGUCAUGUUACAAGCUGAAUGAACAAAAUGGGGUAGAUGCAGAUAAAUUUGAGGACUACAACGAGAAGGUCAUGUUACCCAAACACCUGGUUGAGGAGUUCAGACAGUUCGAAAGUCACGAUAAGCCAUAUUCAGAAGAGAUCAGAAUAGGGAAUCAGAAAAAUGAUGAACGCAUUAAAGAAAUCAAAAUUGGUGCCUAUUUGACAAAAACACAGGAAAGAGAACUCAUCAGUUUGCUUGGAGAAUACAUCAAUGCAUUUGUUUAAUGACAUCGUAUGGUUGAGCAUGAAUAUUGGAUCUCACAAGUCAUCGAUCUACUUAAAUAUUGUCAAAAGAUAACAUGUUUGAAGACUCGAUUUCUAUCUUUUCUUUGUAACUGCCUUUAUGUGUUUGUAAUCCUUUAUGCUUAGAAUUUAUCCCUUUGUCAUUAACUACGUCUGACCUGAAUUCUCAAGAAUGAGAUACGUAGGCGGCCUAUGUCGGCCUCGGUCACCCGUUUAUCCCUUUUUAAUGUUUUCUUUUGUACUUGAACUACGUUCGACCUAAAUUCUCGAAAAUGAGAUACGUAGGCAGCUUGUGUUGGCCUCAGUCGUUUACUUAUUAAAAUUUCUUAUUAACUCCCGAGAGGGAGAACUACGUUUGACCUGAUUCCUGCAUCAACGAGAUACGUAGGCGCCACGACGGCUCGGUCAUAUCUCACAUGAGAUUUCUAUCUUUCUUUACAAUAGAAAUUGGGACAAUAUUUUUAGAGGGACUCAAAAAUUCAAAAGGGGAAGAUAUUUUCUCCAACAAGUCAAGAUUGAAGAUACAUUGCGAGUUGCCACUGGAACAAAAUUUUUGAGAGGGUCUAAAAAAUUCUACAAGUCAUAUGUCAACAGUUCGAGAUACCCCAAGACAACUAACUGGGACAGAAAUUCUUGAGGAUGGCCUCAAAAAUUCCUUUAAGCAUAACGAGAAGUUUGUAGAAGUUUAAAGUUAACUUCAAAUGAUCUCUGGCAUCGUUAAAGUUCAUAGUCAACUGUAGCAAUCUUCGACACUUUUGAAUUUCAGAAUCAACUACAAAAGUUCUUGAUUAUAGUAGAUUUCGGGCGGACCAUGUUAGAAAUUUCCUAAGCUAGGAUUUUUGAAUUCUCUAGAACAAGCUAUCGAACACACCAAAGUUUCUAACCAAGGACGUUCAUUUAAACUUGACGUGACAUGACACUUGGCAGUGACAUUUUUCAAUUACAACUUUUUGAAAACCUUUUUCUUAAAGAUUUUAUCUAUAUGUUUCAAAUAUUUUUGUAUAAAAAGUUUUGUCUCGUCUAUCAAGAAACAAGAGAUCAAAGCGAUCAACUGAAGAUAGCAAGACAAAGAGCAAGCGAUUGAAGAAGUCAACACAAAUUAGUUUGUUCUAAACAUAUAUAAGCAUCUUCGAUGACACGAGAUUACACUUUUCAGCAUUAAGAACGUUUGAAGACUAUUCACAAAUCUCGUUGAUAUUAGACGCGGUAAUGUGAACUACCCAGAGGGAUAUCGUCUUUACCACCCGGAUGGACAUUCCUAGAGUAUUAUCAAAUAAGAUAAUACCAUCACCCAGAGGGACAUCAUAGUUAUUUUAUCAAUGGAAUAUUAUCAUCCUACCGACGGACCUUCAUCAACAUUAUCCUACCAAUGGAUCAACAUCAUCCUACCGAUGGAUAUUCUUUAUCAUUAUCCUACCAAUGGAUAAGCAUUAUCCUACCAAUGGAGUUUCAUUGUCAUUAUCAUACCAAUGGAUGAGCAUUAUCAUACCAAUGGAUGAUCAUUAUCCUACCAAUGGAUCAUCAUCAUUAUCCUACCAAUGAAUCAACAUCAUUAUCCUACCAAUGGAUCAACAUUGUCCUACCGACGGAUUUUCAUCAUCAUCAUCAUCCUCCCGACGGAUCUUUAUUAUCAUCGUCCUACCAAUGAAUCUUCAUCAAUAUUAUCCUAUCAGUGGAUCAUUGUUAAUCAUCAUAUCGAUGGAGUAGCAUCAUUAUCAUCAUCCUAUCAAUGGAGAUUCAUCAUCCUAUCGAUGGAGCAUCAACAUUAUCAUCUUAUCGAUGGAGCAUCAACAUCAUCAUCUUAUCGAUGGAGCAACAUCAUCAUCUUAUCGAUGCAACAACAUCAUCCUUUCAUCAUCGUCAUCCUAUCAUGUAGCAGUUUUAUCCUAUCAAUGGAUCGGCAUCAUCCUAUCAAUGGAUCGGCAUCAUCAUCAAGAGAGUCAUCAACAUAUUACAUCAGUCUAUAUUUUAUUAUUUCAAUAUCAAAGGAAGAGUACAUUUGAAGAAUUAUAUUGCAAAUAUGAGAUAUAAGUUUUAUUGGCCUAACUUCAAGAUGAAAGAAUUGACGUUAAAUGUUCAACGGGAGCGACUAAGUGUCAACAUAGUAGAAGACGCUAUCUCUCUAUUUGAAUUACAAUUUUAUACUAAUGAAUUUUAUCUCAAUCUUUGUCAAGAGCAUCCGAGAGGAUGAAUUCUCAAACAAACCACAGGGGCGGAUGACAUCAAAAGGGAUGCAACACAAUGUGAAACUUUUUCUUAGCAGCGAACUGGGACAUAGUCUGAAGAGGAGUAUUAAAAUCUUAAGACGCGAGCUGAGGAGUGACUUCCAGCACAAUCAAAACACACCCCUAUCAGAAGGCAUGUGGGUUUUUCUUUGGGUUUAUCGGUUUCAGUUUCGCAUCUGAAAAACUUUUGUUUUCAUCGAAAGUAAAUUUCCAAUUCGAGUGGCAAUACACAAGAGCUUUGGAAAUUAUGUCCGUGUAAGUUCUUAAUUAUGGGUGUAAAGUGCACCGCAUUCAUGACUCAGAGGUUGCAAGCCUCUUUUUCAUAUUCGACUUAUUUUGUCACUCUUCCCAACCGAAGGUUAUCUUAGCAUAAUAGAUUUUCUUUUCAACCGAUCGAAUCGAACUACAAGCAGCCUAAUUCCCUAAGUUUAGAGAUAUGUAGGCGGGAUCAGUCUCGAAAACUCGGUUGUAUUCCAACAUUCUCUCUUAAAACCUAUUCUCGAGCAUUCCGGUGUCUUCAUAAUUCAAUAUCGGGAUGACAUUGAAUUCUUUCAAAAUCGUGCGUCAAAUCAAGCGUAUCGAACUACAAAUGGCCUGAAUUCUCAUAUAGCUUGAGAUAUGUAGAAAAUCCAUUUCCGAGGUUCGGUCAUAAUUCCUAAAGUCCGUACCAAAAACUCUUUUCUAAAGGAUGAAGAUGUGGUCGGUCAAAAUUGGAUUUGUCAAAUUCAUUUUCUCGAAUUUCUUUCAUCAAUCCAAGUAAAAUGAGGGACAGUUGUUGACACCCAAUUUUGACCCUCCACAAUAUAAAUUGGUUUUGUCAAUUUCAUUUACCUUAGAUUUCUUUAAUCAAUCCAAGUCAAACGAGGGACAGUUGUUGACACCCAAUUUUGGACCUCUACAAUAUAUAUUAAUCAUUGAGUUUCUUAAACUCCAAACGAUUCGAAAUAAUUGACUUUAUAAAAUUCAAAAUAUUUUUUCAAGUUAUUUUUUUUAUUAAUUUUAUCAUUUUUAUAAUUUUUAAAUAAUAUAUAUGUUUUACAUAAUUAUGUAUGUAAUUAGUAUAUUUUAUCAAUAUUUGAAAAUCUUCUCAAAAAAGAUUUCACAUUUUAAGUCAAAUGUUCUUUAAUUUAGUUUAAUUUCAAUUAUGAUUUCAAUUAGUUUCUAUUUUAAAUUAAUUACUUUAUAAUCGAGUUUAUUAUUUUAUUUCGUUAAAAUUAAGAAGCUCGUUAGUUGAUUAUAUUAGUUCGUCCUAUUUAAAUUUAAGCCAAAUUCACAAGUUAAACCCAUUCCAGCAAAUACAUACAGCAUACCAAAACGGCCCAUUCUCCAUACAUAAACCCAUUUCAAUACCCACACCAACAAUACAACGCAAUACCCAACCGACCCCAUGCUCCUCCUUCACCAGAAACGCUGCAACCCAGCAAAAACUUGCUGAAGUCCAGCGAUUUCAGCAUCCUAGACGCGAACCCGACCCAAUUGACGUGUACCUCUCUCUCUCCCUUAUCCUUUACUGUACCAAGAACGUCCAAGAAAUAGUCCAGGUGUCUCAAUCCUCUCCCUCGUUCGUACUCCUCUCAGAAAUCAAGUGGUUCUCCUCAUUCUUCCGUUGGAAUUUAUUGAGAAUGAGAGUAUAUCCGUUUGGAAUCAAGCAUAUUCUUGAUCCUUUGAAAGGAAUUCAAAUUCGAAUUUUGAAAUUUCCAUUUUGUUCCCGCUUCUCACCUUAAACCAACCUCAAUCUUCUUCUAUUUAAAGGGGCAUCCUCUUCAUUAUUGAAGGGGGAGAUAGCUUACAAAAAGCUGGAUAAGAGUCGGCAUUAGAGAGGAAAACAAAGCAAAAUUACUAGUCAUAUACAAUUAUAUAUGAAUACUUAGGCAAUAGGUUUCGAAAUAGGCUGAAAAAUCCAGAUUUUACCUACUCCGUUUUCUGGUUAGCUUCUGCUUCCUUCAUCGGAUUUCUCAGGGUUUUGUUUCGGUGGCAGAAGCUCGUGGUUUCUGCUUGUUCUUGCCUCAGCUCGCUGCCCUCAAAAAGGUAAAAAAAAAAUUCCAAUCUCGAUUUACUUUAGUUUAACUUAUUGUGAAUACUUCUGUUGUACUCAUUCCUAUUAUGAAUUCCAAGUACCUCGAUUUGUACCGUCUCUUAUGUUAUUAUGAUCUCAUCUUAAUACUCAUAUACUUUAAGAUUUCAUUGGUUGUUUAGAAAAAUGUUCAUGUCUCUUGGAAUGUGCCUAGAUAUGAGCUAAAUAUCAGUAUUACUCUCUUUAAGCGUUAUAAUCAUGUUCAUUAUGUGACGAUCUAAAUCGGUUUGAUGACUUGCUUUUCCGUGAUUAAUGUCUCGAAGGCUCCUCAUACUUGUAGUUCUCUAUUCGUCUGUUGUCUCUUUUUCUCUCCAGACCUUGGAUUUUGUUUAUUUCUACUUCAUUUGCUCUUUCAAAGUUGCUGUCCUUUUUCAUCUUAUGAUUGUUUUGGUGAUUCUGUAUUAGUUAAUGUUUCAGUAAAAAGAAAAAGAGAUAUAAAUUGCCGCUUGCUUCCUAAUUGUUUUGACUCUUUGCUACGAGUAGUUGCGAUUUAAGUAAUGUUAGCUAUCUCAUUGGCAUGAUUUCUAGAUCUCUUGUGUCAUGUAUUUGGUUCAUUCACUGUGAUUUGAAUAGGCAUUAGUGAGAUACAAUGUGAGGUUUGACUUUGAUUUCCUUGAGGCAGUAGCUUUCUUGUCAAAGUUAAUCACUUUUUCCUCUAAUUACUUAUAUAGUAUUUUUAGCUAGGUCUUUGCCAAUCAACUACCCUUUUGUAUGUGUUCUUCUAUUGAGCUUAUCUUUGUUCAAUUUGGUAGUAUGUAUUGAGUUUUGGCUUUAUUUUUUAUCUGCUAUUUGUGUGGUCAUUUUCUAAUUUGAGUUUCUGUCUAAAGUCUAGUAAAUUGUUAAUUGCUUUCUCUCAUUUGUGUGUAUCUUAGAUUUUUUCUUCUAAGUUAUGUUUUCUUUGUUAUUAUUUAAGAUUGGUUUUUCCUUUGCUAACUUGGUUUUGUCUUUCUUUUGCUUGCUAUGAAAUCUGUCCAAGUCCUUGUGGACUCUCUCUUUGCAUAUCCUUGAGUCGUUUUGAGUCAGCCUUUGGUGUUCGAGGGUGAAAGGGAAGCUAAUGCAAGCCUCCAAAAGCUCAAAAAAGAGCUGUAUAUACUGUUGUAUACAGCAGUAUACACUGCUAUACAACAAUUGUACACAUGAUAUACAGGGCAGAAAAAAUUAAAUGCAGGUUGCAGGGGUCAAAAUGGAUUGUAUACACUCGGUCUACAGUCCGAUAUACACGAAAAUGCAUCAAAAUAUGGUCUAUAUACAUCGAUAUACACUUUUCGUAUACACAGGUCUUUGGGGUAAAAAUGGGCUUAAAGUCCAAUAGAUUGGGCCCAAAUUUGGGCAUUCUCUUAUUAUUACCAUUAUUUAUUUGUUCGUAUUAACUCUCUAACCCUUUUUAUGUGAUUUGUUAAUUAACUUAAUUAAACCCCCAAAAGAUGAACCAUAUUCUUUAUGUAACUAUACUUUAAUAAAAUUUCAUUUUUAUCAACUCUUGUACUUUUUAUUGGAAAUUUAAGAUAGUUUCCAUGCUUUAAUUGACUAAAUGGGUCUAAUUUAUUUUUUAAGAGAUUCAAAUAAAAUUCUAAUUAAUCUAGAUUUGCCAAAAUUUUAAUCGCUUGCAAAUUAAUUCGAAUAUUUCAAUCAAGGUUCAAUUUUCUUUAAAAAAUUAAAAAAUUGUUCUUUUUAAAUAUUUUCUCAAAGUUAGUCAAACGUUGUAAAUUAUUUUCAUGUCAAAUCAUUUUUCUCAAAAUUAGUCAAAAUCAUUUUAAGUCAAAUCGCCGGUCAACCGCAAGUUAGCGGGCAUUCCGAGGGUCUAACACCUUCUCAGAAUGUACAUUGAACUUCGAACCCUGUUAUUUUCAAUUGACCUUAUCUGUUUAAGUCUUUUGAAAACCUUAAGUGUUUUUCUUGAUUUUUACUAAAAAUUAAGUGGCGACUCUGUUCUUUCGGAAAUUCGUUUUCUCUUAAACCAAAAGUUUAAUCAUUUUUCGAAAACCAAUCAUUUUUUAUUUUAUUUAUUUUUUCGAAUAAAACAAAGAUUUUGUCAAUAAAUAUUUUUUAUAAUCAAUAUAAAAUCAAGUCUAAUUUCUUUACGUAUCUUUUACACUUUAGGGCCAUUAAUCCACUAAAUUUUCUUAUUAGCCAAGCUUAUUAUUCCAUUAUAACUAUGAAUCUUUGACAUCUUCUACUUUUGUUUUAAUGCCUAAUUUUCCACUUCUCCUUUAUUGUCUUGUUUAUGAAAAUAGUGAUCAUAUAAUUUUUUUUGCUCGAAUGAAUCUUAUGAAUAUUGUAUCUUGGCUAUUAUGUUUUUGUUUUGUAAAUAUUCACUGAAGUAUGUGUAAUUCAUGAAUGAAUUUUUGUAUGUGUUGAUGUUGUGUUCAUCAGACAUCAACGUUCGUACUCUUUCUUAGAGGGCAAUGUUAUCCAUUUUUUUGUUGAAGGGCCAACCCGUCCCAACCUGUGGCCUGCUUUGGGUUGGGUUGGGCUGCUAUAUUUUAUAGGUUCUUUAAUUAAAAGGGCCUGCCCGUCCCAUCCCACUUAACUCUCUAGCCGGUUAGGGUUGGGCCAGCCCAUUUUAACAGCUCUAUCUAUAUAUAAAAGGAGAAGAAAAAAUGACACAUGUCAACACUACAAAUUUUCAGUAACUAUUUAUGUAUUGUCAGCACCACAAAAUUUGAAAUAAAAACAAACACACACACACACACACACACACAAGCUGAAUCAAAUCACGCUGAUGUGGCAUGCUUCAUUGAUCAGUAUACUAUUUAUUUAUUUUUUCAAAAUUUUGAAUUUUUUUCCUCUCAUUUUCUAUUCAAUAACCUUUUAAAACAAUUAUUCACUUUCCUACAUUUAACUCUUCCUUCAAAAAGGAAAUAUGUAACAGCUAAAUACAUAAUGGUGCAAUUAACGUGCAUUAUCACACAUUUUUCCUAUUAAAUCAUUGCUUCAACCCACGUAUUAUCAGUUUUUUUUGUAAUGCUUUAUCACCUAUGUAAGUAUUUUUUUUUCAUGUAAGUAUUUUUUUUUCAUAUCUUCUUAUACCUUUUUGGGGGGUUUCAUGUAGUUUUUUUUCUUCUCUUUCAUCUUCUUCCUUUUAUUUUAUCCAUCCUUGAUUUUUAUUUUUAAUGUAUAUAUGUUAGCAUCAUUUUAAACAGGAUAAUUACUAUGAAGCUUUUUUAUAUGAAGAGGUAAGCCAAUAGUUGAUUUUAUCAAUUCUUGAUUUUAUUUUUAACGUAUAUAUGUUACCAUCCUUUGAAAAGGAUAUUACUAUGAAGCUUUUGAUAUAAGCCAAAANNNNNNNNNNNNNNNNNNNNNNNNNNNNNNNNNNNNNNNNNNNNNNNNNNNNNNNNNNNNNNNNNNNNNNNNNNNNNNNNNNNNNNNNNNNNNNNNNNNNNNNNNNNNNNNNNNNNNNNNNNNNNNNNNNNNNNNNNNNNNNNNNNNNNNNNNNNNNNNNNNNNNNNNNNNNNNNNNNNNNNNNNNNNNNNNNNNNNNNNNNNNNNNNNNNNNNNNNNNNNNNNNNNNNNNNNNNNNNNNNNNNNNNNNNNNNNNNNNNNNNNNNNNNNNNNNNNNNNNNNNNNNNNNNNNNNNNNNNNNNNNNNNNNNNNNNNNNNNNNNNNNNNNNNNNNNNNNNNNNNNNNNNNNNNNNNNNNNNNNNNNNNNNNNNNNNNNNNNNNNNNNNNNNNNNNNNNNNNNNNNNNNNNNNNNNNNNNNNNNNNNNNNNNNNNNNNNNNNNNNNNNNNNNNNNNNNNNNNNNNNNNNNNNNNNNNNNNNNNNNNNNNNNNNNNNNNNNNNNNNNNNNNNNNNNNNNNNNNNNNNNNNNNNNNNNNNNNNNNNNNNNNNNNNNNNNNNNNNNNNNNNNNNNNNNNNNNNNNNNNNNNNNNNNNNNNNNNNNNNNNNNNNNNNNNNNNNNNNNNNNNNNNNNNNNNNNNNNNNNNNNNNNNNNNNNNNNNNNNNNNNNNNNNNNNNNNNNNNNNNNNNNNNNNNNNNNNNNNNNNNNNNNNNNNNNNNNNNNNNNNNNNNNNNNNNNNNNNNNNNNNNNNNNNNNNNNNNNNNNNNNNNNNNNNNNNNNNNNNNNNNNNNNNNNNNNNNNNNNNNNNNNNNNNNNNNNNNNNNNNNNNNNNNNNNNNNNNNNNNNNNNNNNNNNNNNNNNNNNNNNNNNNNNNNNNNNNNNNNNNNNNNNNNNNNNNNNNNNNNNNNNNNNNNNNNNNNNNNNNNNNNNNNNNNNNNNNNNNNNNNNNNNNNNNNNNNNNNNNNNNNNNNNNNNNNNNNNNNNNNNNNNNNNNNNNNNNNNNNNNNNNNNNNNNNNNNNNNNNNNNNNNNNNNNNNNNNNNNNNNNNNNNNNNNNNNNNNNNNNNNNNNNNNNNNNNNNNNNNNNNNNNNNNNNNNNNNNNNNNNNNNNNNNNNNNNNNNNNNNNNNNNNNNNNNNNNNNNNNNNNNNNNNNNNNNNNNNNNNNNNNNNNNNNNNNNNNNNNNNNNNNNNNNNNNNNNNNNNNNNNNNNNNNNNNNNNNNNNNNNNNNNNNNNNNNNNNNNNNNNNNNNNNNNNNNNNNNNNNNNNNNNNNNNNNNNNNNNNNNNNNNNNNNNNNNNNNNNNNNNNNNNNNNNNNNNNNNNNNNNNNNNNNNNNNNNNNNNNNNNNNNNNNNNNNNNNNNNNNNNNNNNNNNNNNNNNNNNNNNNNNNNNNNNNNNNNNNNNNNNNNNNNNNNNNNNNNNNNNNNNNNNNNNNNNNNNNNNNNNNNNNNNNNNNNNNNNNNNNNNNNNNNCAAUAAUUACUAUAAUAGAAUACUAGAAAAAUUGAUAAGUUCCUCGACAUCUAAUCAUUGAUAAAAAAAUAAAUUUUUAUUUUCUUUUUAGAAAGUUUAAAAGUAACUUAUUCAGUAUUUGUGAUUAUUUAUUUUCAAUGAUUAAUAAAAACUGUAUAUAUCAUGAACAUGUUUCUAUUAUUAUAUGACAUUAUUUUAUAUUGACUCUAUUUUAAAUUACUUUUCUAUUAUCGUUUGACACAAAUUUAAGAAUGUGAAGAAUAUGUUGAAUCUUUUGAAUUUGAAAAAAAAUAUAUGCAAAAUAUAUUAACAUGUCAUUUAAUCUUAUGAUAUUUUACCUUUCAUGUGAAAUAUUUUUAACUAAUAAAAUUGUUAAUAUGAAAAAUAUAUUAAUAUAUCAAUACAACAUAAAAAUAAUUAAAGGACAAAUAUGUAAAAAUAUUUCAACUAUUUGAUGUUUCAUGAAAUUAAAUUAAUCAAAAAUUCAUAUAUAGCCGCGUAACGCGCAGGUACGUAUAUUAGUUGAACUUAAUAGGCCCCCACCAAGAGACAAUAAGGAAUUAGGGUCCUACGAUCAUCUUGUAGUGUUUCUUAUCAAUUAAAACGUGUCAUUUAGAAAUAUUAUUAUUAAUAUAUACAAAUAAACGUAAAAAUAUCCAAUUACUUUUGUAUCGCAAAUUAUAUCAAAAAGAAAAAAAUAAAAUAAGAAAAUGAUAAAAUGCAAAAAAUAUGUUUGAUCAAACUUUCAUAAAUCUUCUCAUAGCUAGUUUGCCUAAACUUUCAAAAUUUGCUUCUUCUGAAACGUACUUUUCUUUACCAAAAGUGCUUUUGCAAAAGGUAAAUAUAAAAGAAGGGGAACUUAUAUAAAUUUCAUUAGUUUAGGAGCUAAUUAUUUAGAUAUACUUUAGUUUGCAAUAUUUUACGUAUCUUAUCUUUUUUUUUCCCUCUAGAUACGACCAGAUGCAUAUAUCUCAGAUACAUGAGGUUAAAUUUAGACGUAAUUUGUUCUAGAUACAUUGUAUUCAAGUAAAUUUGAAUGUUUCAGGGAUACAUAGAAAAUCUCGUUCGUCUCUCUCGCCUCUCUUCCAUCUCGCUCGCCACUCACACGUAUAAUCUGGUAUUCCAAAACACCAUACACAUGUGAAUCACUUCAAAUAUAUACAUAUACAUGUAUCUAGUAUGAUUCCCAUGUAUCUAGGAUACAUAUGAAUCUCGCUCGCCUCUCUCCCUAUUUUUGUGUAUCUGGUAACAAAAAUAUAUGUAUCUAAGUGUAAGAUAUGUAGGGAACUCUUAAUUAGUGGUAAAAUAAAAAUAAAAAUAAAAAUAAUAAUAAUAAUAUUAAUAAUAAUAAUAAUAAUAAUAAUAUAUAUUGUUGUGAUCAAGGAAACAAACACAAGAAAAUAAGAAUUUUAGAAAAUAAAAGCAAGAAAUAAGUUUGAUGAUUGUUAGUUUGAACGUCUAUUUUUAGUACUUGCUUUUCAAUUCCAAUGAAUUAUCCGAUUUUGAUAUAUAUUUGAUUACUAGACAUUCAAAAGAAUCUUAAUCAAUUGACCUACCAAAUAUUAUCAUGAUUCACUUGAAAUGUCAAAAAUAUAGCAAACAUUAUAGACAAUUAAUUAGGAAAUAUCCUAUAUUUUGUAAAUCAUGACGCAUUUGCAUGACAAUUCUAUUAUGAUCACCUAUUAAACCUUAUGUACGUAGAAGUAAACUUCUAAUUAAUUAGAAUUUAUGGAUCAUGAUCAUGUGUGACAUAACCUUUAAUUCCUUUUUUGUUUCCAUCAUUACAUGUGCUUUUGUUGAUAAUAAUGGAGCAAGGAAUAUGAUAAAGAAUUAUCAACAUCAAACUCUAUAGACUCCCACCAAUAGAUAAUAAUUAGGAAUUAGGGCCCUACUAUCAUUUUGAAAUGUUUCUUAUUCAUUAAAUGUAAAGAUUCAAUAAUACUUUUGAAUUAUCAUAAAAGGUAGAAAAUAUUUACUCUUUAUUUUCAUAGAAAAUCGUAGCCACGAAAAUAAAGCAUCCUAAGCUUGAACAUUUGUUCCUCUUGUAUAAAUAAUACUCCCUUUGUUCCUAAUUACUUAUCCACUUUUUCUUUUAUAGUUGUCCCUAAUUACUUGUCCAUUUUGACAAAUAAAAAAAGGACAAUUUUUUUUACCUAUUAUACCCUCAAUUAAAUGACUAAUUACUUUGAAAACUGCAGAACUUUUCAUCCACUUCAUAAUUAAUAGGGGUAAAAGGGUAAACUCAAUAUGUCAUUAAUUGAUUUCUUAAUAGGUGUGUCAAUUCAAAAAUGGACAAGUAAUUAGGAACAGAGGGAGUAUCUUCAAUUAAUGUAUAUAGAAGUCAUUAUUCAUCAAAUUCAAGAAACAAAAUAAGUUAAUUACUUAGAUAUACUAUAGUUUUCAAUAUUACAUAUUUUAUCUAAUUUUGGUGCGUUCAGAUAGGUUCAUAUAUGUCCAAAUACAUGUAUCUCAAGAGACAUGAGGUUAAAAUUAUGUGUAAUUUAUUCUAGAUGCAUUGUAUCCAAGUGAAUUCGCAUGUAUCUGGGAUACAUACCAAAUUAAAUCUCUCUCGCCUCCCUCGCCUCUCUCCCAUCUCGCUAGCCAUUAUCCUAUGUAUCUAGUAUCCCAGAUACAUGCGGAUACAUACAUAUAAGUGUAUAAUGUAUCUAGUGUAGUGCGAUUUGCAUGUAUUAGAGAUACAUAACAAAUCUCGCUCGCCUCUUUCCUAAUUUUAGAGUAUUUGAUAGCAAAAUACAUGUAUCUAAGUGUAUUUUUCUCAAUAUAUGGUAGGAAAUUCUAACUUAGUGGUAAAAUUCAUAUUAUUUUGAAAGUAUAGAUAAUAAUAAUAGUAUAUAUAGUAGUGAAGUAUGUCUACAUAAUUUUUCCAAAAAAAAAAAUCCUUUGAUAAUUAGAUUUUCAAGAUUUUAGUACAACCAGCAAAAUAAGGAAAUAAAUAAAAAAUAAAAAAUAUUUUAAUUAUAUAAUGCAGUCCGUUGAGUUUUCAUGGACAUAGGCAAAAUAACAAAUAGUAAUACAUGUUUUUUUUAAUUAUAUGACAGAAUACACAAAGAAAUAAGAAUUUUAUAUACAAUACUUUUGUCGGCAACUAUAAGGAAAAUGAAAGAAAGAGCAAUAUAAAGGUGUAGAAAAUAAAAGCAAGAAAUUAAUAGCUACUUUAAUUUCUUUCCUUUUUCGACAAACUUUAUGUUUGAAUAUCCAGUACAAAAUUAUCAUAAAAGUACGUAAUGAAAUUAACUCCCACUAAUUAAUUGGAAAAUGACCUUGUAAUUGGGCCAUAACAAGCCUACUGAGUAAUUAAUUUGAUUGUCGUCAGUUUAAGAAAAACUAUCUAAUUUUUUGAUAGUUUAAAAUAAUUAUAUAUUGUCUCACUAAUUAAUAAUUUUAUACAAGAUUUCAAAUCAGAUACACGCCUAGAUACACUAACAAUAGGAAGAGAGACGAACGAGAGAAGGAGAGAGGCGAGCGAGAUAUAUAAACUAUGUAUUCUAAAUUGACGUGAAUCAAACAAGGCAAGCUAGGUAGGAGAGAGGCAAGUGAGAGAGUCAGAUACAUGCGAAUUCACUUGGAUACAAUGUAUAAAGAAUAAAUUAUACCUAAUUUUGACCUUAUGUAUCCGAGAUACAUGUCUGAACGUAUCUUGACAUGUCAGAUACAUAUAUUUGAAGUCCAAAAUUUGUAAGAUUCAUAAUAUUACAAACUAGCGUGAAUCUAAGUAAUUAACUCCUAAACUAAUGAGAUUUUUACAAAUUACCCGUAGUUUAAUCGUUUUUUUUUAACUUCCCUUUCAUUUCCAAUGAAUUAUCCAACUUGUGAUAUAUAAUUGAUCACUAAACGUUCAAAAUAAUCUUGAUCAACUUGCCUACCAAAUAUUAUGAUCCACUAUAUAUUUUGUAUAUUAUCGCGUAUUGGCAUGACACUUAUAAUGCAAUGUAGUAUUCUAUUUUGAUCUCACCUUCAACUAAAUUAUUUUAUUUUGAGUUUAAUAUUUAUACGUUGUUAGUGUAAACUAUGUAUAUUUUUUUUUUUAUUAGGUCACUUGGAGGACAUCAAUAGGAUUUUAAAAAAAAAUUGAGAUAUGUAAUUUCAAAAAUAAGAUAGGUUAUCUGCUAUAUCAGAUAAAUAUGACGUGGUGGUAUAAUUUAAAUGGAUCUUAAAACAAAUAGCCUAUCGGUUUUACUUUUUACUUCACCUAAUCACGAUAUUCCCAAACUAUUCACUUAUUAUAUACACGAUUGCACAUAUAUUAUAAUUAUUGUUGAUCGACUAUAUUUUGUGUUUUAAGGGAUUGAUCAAUUGAGCACUAUCUUUACCAUCAUUACAUAUGCUUUUGUUGAUAAUAAUCAAGCUAAGGGAUAUAUGAUAACAUUUUUGAACUUUUAGGCAUGAAAAAGGAAGUGGAGGCACUAUUCAACAAUGAACUUAAAAGACUUCAACAAAAAAAUUGAUAAUAUGGAAGCUAGUGGACAUGGAAAAAAACAUGGAGGAACUAUCAACAUCAAACUAAAUUGGCUCCAACCAAUAGACAAUAAAGAAUAAGGGUCCUGCGAUCAUUUUGAAAUGUUUCUUAUUCACAAUAUAUCACUUAUAUAUAAUAUAUAUACAAACAAAGAAUUAUUCUAUUGUUUUUGUAUAUCAACUUAUAUCGAAAACAAAAAAUAAGGAAAGAGUGUAAGAAAGUUGGAAUAUUCGAAUCUUUCUUGGACAUGCAAUUUAAAUUUCGCAAAUUAUUUCAAAUUUCAAUGAGUAACUUUGGCCAUUCAAGUUGAAAUUGCAAUUUACAUUAAAGUGAAUAUCAUAGCUACGAAAAUAAAGCAUUUUAUACUUGGACAUUUGGUCCUCUUAGUUAAAUAUCUUCAAUAAUGUAUAUAACAACUUGUAACGAAAAAAGAAAAAAAUAAAGUAAGAGCAUAAGAAUGUGGCAAAAUGCUUUAAAGGAAAGGAGAGUAAAAUAAUAUCGAUGAAAAUGUAUUCACGGCUAGGGGUUACGGCUGGAGGGGAUAUCGAGUUCUAACGGGUUGAGAUUGAAUCCGAUUUAAAUUAUCUUGGGUUCAAUUCUUAAAUUUUUGGGGGGUUGAGUGGUUUAUACCUAUUAGGGGUGUACAUGACCGGGUUGGUUCGGAGUUUCAAAUAUCAAACCAAACCAUUUGUGUAAAAAAUUUAAAUUUAUAAACCAAACUAAUAAAAUUCGGGGUUUUUCCACCUCAGGUUGGUUCGGAUUUUUCAAAUACCAAACCAAACCAUUGUGUCGAAUUUUUAAAUUUUAAAUCAAACCAAACUAAUAAACCUCGAAUUUUUUCAGGUUUUUGGAUUUUUCUGAUAAAGUAUUCAUAUAAACAUAUAAUUAACUUGUGCUCCAAAUAUUUCUUUAGUCCAACCAAAAUACAACUAUCUAAGGUGUUUUUUAAGAAAAUAAGACAAAAUAUGAGAUGAGUGAUGACACUAAAAAUAUUCAAUUAAAAAUAAUAAUGAAAUCAUCAUAUAAAAUAAAUAAUUGCAAAGUCAUAAUGAAAAUGAUCAUAAUUUAAAAGUAAUAAAUCAUGCUAAAAUAAGUCUAAUAAAGUAUUAGUUACAUGAUUAAACAUUAAAGAAAAAUUAAAAUUAGAUUAUGUAUUUUAAAUGUCUAAACCAAUGUAAAACUAAAGACCAAAUAUUCAACAUUAUUGUCAUUCUUAGUGUUGAAUUAAUUUAUUUUGUUAGCAUAGUAUUGAUUUGAUUCGAAUUGAAUUUUAUUAGAGUUACUAAUAUCUAUGGAUUAUAACCUUUUUUUAUUGAAGCUCACAGAGUCAUUUGCUGACUCUUGCAUAUAGUAAUUUCCUCCUCCUUAUUGGACCAUUCAAAAUUUUAAGUCUAAGUUUUUUUUGAAAAAAUAUGUUAAAAGAUAAAAAUUAUGAAAACUUAUAAGUAAUAUUUAGAAAUUACAUCAAAGUAAAUAUUUUAUGUAUAAAAUAAUUUUUUAAAAUUAUACAUAUAAUGUCGGGCUGGUUUGGUCUCGGAUUGACUUUUUUAGUUAAAACCAAACCAACCCAAGUAUAGUCAGAUUUUUUUUUCCAAUACCAAAUCAAGUCAAACCAAACCAUUAGUCGAGUUUUUUUUUCUGAUUUGACUCGAUUUGCGGUUUGAUUUGGUUUUUGGUUUGAUUUUGUACACCCCUAAUACCUAUAAUUGGGCUCAUUUUUGACACCUCUGUUUGACUAUUUUGCGUUCUUCAGGAGAGUGAUAUACGCUCUCUGUAUUAAAUGUCGAAAAAUGGUUCAUCAACAAUUUCACUUUAAACUAGUGUAGGGGUGUAUUAGGACCAUUGCAAAAUUUGAGUGUUUUUUUUCUAAAAAGAGUUAUAGUUUAGGGGGGUUUUAUGUAUUGUUUAACUUUAAACAAAAGAUGAAUUUUUUUCAUAAUCAAAUGUUUCCCUAUUAUUAAUAGUAAUUGCGCUUAAUUAUGAUUGUUUAAUAUACAAUUCUUUUGUCGCAUCGACAAGGGAAAUGAAAGAAAGAGCAUUAUUAUGAAGUAUGAUGGUGGAGAAAAUGAAAGCACUAAAUUAAUAGUUACUUUAUUCUUAAAUAUAUAAAACAAAAUUAUCAUAAAGUACGUAAUGAGGUUAACUCGUACUCGUAUUAAUUAAUCGGAUAAUGACCUUGUUGGGCCAUAAUCCUAUGAGUAAUUAAUUUUUAAUGAUGGUCACUCUCCUUUCGUUUCUUUUUAGUUGUUAUAUGGAAUUUUUUAAAAGUUAAUUUGAUUAACUUUCAACGCUAAAUUAAAUUAGAUUAAUUUGAUAUUUUAAAAUAAAAAUUUAGAUAUAUAAAAACUAUAUGUAAAUUACUAUAAGUAGCAAUUUUUUCACAUCAAUAAAAUAAAAAAUAUAUCUUAAAAUAUUAUAUUAAUUAAAAUUCAUAUUGUUUGAUUAUACUAUGACAAAUAAAAAAAAACGAGGAAGUAAUUAGAACGUCUAUUUUUAGUACUUUCCUUUCUAUUCCAAUGAAUUAUAUAUGAUAUAUAAUUGAUCACUACACGUUUAAAAGAAAUAAAAAAUUUAAUCCAAUUGGCCAGCAAAAUAUCACGAUUCACUAAAAAUGUAAGAUGGCAAAGUGCAAACGUAAUACGCAUUUAGGGUCGUUUGGUAGAGUGUCAUUACAAUUCAAAAAAAAAAAUAGCAACAAUAGAUAUGCAUAUUAAUAGAGUACUAAAGUCUUUACCGACAUUAAUUAAUUGUAUUGAAUCUAAUAUCGAUAUAGGUUUUAGAGACAUUUACAAAAGGUUUUAAUUGCCACUAAAAAGACAUAUUUAGCAGCAAUUAAGUUAUUGCCGCUAAUUAAUUGUGACUAAAAAUCAUUUUUGGUGUAAUGUAUAAUAAUAAUGUUAAAUAGAGUGUAUUUUUAUAUACAGUGCACCAAAGAGUUUUAAUUGCCACUAAAAAGACAUAGUAAUGCUUGCAUUAUUUUCUAUGCAUUGUUUGGUUUGAUGUAUUAAAAUAGCAUGCAUUGCAUAAUUUUUUUACAAAAAAAUUAUUUAUAAAGAUACCCUUCAGGCCUCCACAAAUAUGGUGGAAAUUGAAAAAGAUGUUAAAAAAAAAGGUUUUGAGGGGCAUUUCAAUUUUAAACCAUGUUAAUGCUUGCAUUAAAUCUCCUCACAUUACUAAUACCAUUAAUUUCCAUGUAUUAGUAAGAUAUUCCUCAAUACAAUAGAAAGUAAACUGAUACAAACAUUAGUAAUAUGUAGGUUAAAAAAAUGGACAUUCCUCACUACACAAUAAAGCAUUAAUAGGUUAAAAUCAUAUUAAUGCAUACAUUAAAGUAUCUUUUAUUAUAAGAACUCAACAAUGGUGUUGGGUUAUAAGAUAUAUGUAAUACCCCUACACUAAGAAGUCACAAGUUAAUCUUACAAAUGAAUUAAUAGGAAUUGAAAGAGUAAAUACUCGUCCUUUAUAACUUACUGGGUUAAGUUUUGUUUCCUAAAAGGGCAUUUAAGUAAAAGUAAAAUUAAUUAAAGAAUUGCUCCUUAAGAUUCUUUUUCAAUUUAAAACUCUCAUAUUUGACAGGUAGAUUAAAAAAUCAUACUUGAGCUUUAAUAAUUAAGCACUUAGAAAAGUCCAUAACAAAAAAAUCAUAAUUAAGCUUUAAUAAUUAAGCACUCCGAAAAGUCCACAACAAUUUUUUUUUGUUGUAGUUGAAAAUGAGUUUAUUUCAUUCAUAUUAACAUAGGACCGGAAGUAGAAUGAAAGAUGUGAUCUACUUAACAUUUUCAUAUAUAACAUAACAAAACAAGAAAGAUGGAACAUGACUUUCAUGCAUUGGUCAAUUUUACUUGUGUUGCUUCAAUUGUAUAUGAAUUAAUUAUAUCUUUAUUUAUCAUCAAAACAACUAUUGGGAAAACACAUGCUCAUACAUCUAAACAUAGGGUGUGUUUGGUAUCUAGAAAAUGUUUUCUUGAAAAACAAGUUGAUUUUUGACUUAUUUUUUCAUGUUUGGUUGGCCAGUAGAAAAUAGUUUUAGUGUUUAAUUCAUGAAUGAAAAAUAUUUUUGAAAAAAUAUCUUUUAUUUUUACUAGAGAGUAGAAAAUGAUUGUUGAAAUUGAAAAUAUUUUUUAAAAACAAACAUAAUUUUUUUUGGAGGGGGUGUGGGGAUGGNNNNNNNNNNNNNNNNNNNNNNNNNNNNNNNNNNNNNNNNNNNNNNNNNNNNNNNNNNNNNNNNNNNNNNNNNNNNNNNNNNNNNNNNNNNNNNNNNNNNNNNNNNNNNNNNNNNNNNNNNNNNNNNNNNNNNNNNNNNNNNNNNNNNNNNNNNNNNNNNNNNNNNNNNNNNNNNNNNNNNNNNNNNNNNNNNNNNNNNNNNNNNNNNNNNNNNNNNNNNNNNNNNNNNNNNNNNNNNNNNNNNNNNNNNNNNNNNNNNNNNNNNNNNNNNNNNNNNNNNNNNNNNNNNNNNNNNNNNNNNNNNNNNNNNNNNNNNNNNNNNNNNNNNNNNNNNNNNNNNNNNNNNNNNNNNNNNNNNNAUUUGGGGGGGGGGAGGGGGGGAGGGGGUAAAAAAUAAAAAAUUGAGGUUGAAAAUAUUUUUUUAAAAAUAAACUUUAAAUUUAUUUUUUCAACCAAAAAUUUGUAAUGUGAAGUUGGAGGAGAGUUUUGAAAAAUGUUUCCCUUAAUUUUUUAAGGAAAGUCAUUUAAAUUUGAGGAAAAUGAGUUGAUUUGGAAAACAUUUUACCCAACCAAACAUGAGAAAAUUGGAAAACAUUGUUUUCCUUCAUACCAAACACACCCAUAGUCAAUUUAUCAAUACAAGAUUCUCAAAAAUCUCGCACCAUUAAAAAUAGUUUUACAUCUUAUAUAUAGCUUCUCAAUAGUUCAAAGUACUAAUUUUCAAACUUUGUUCAUAGACCCCUAUUUUCCCCUAAAAUUAAGUUACACAUGACUUAUCAGUUAUUGUCAUACUUAUUAGAUCUACACCCUCACUCUAAUUAGUUCCAUGAUGUAAUAUUAUGAUUAUCUAUUUUGAACCAAGCCAACACAAUUUUCUUAUAAAUGACUCACACCAUGAUGCAUGUAACCAUUGUACAUAUAAUCAAGAACAAAAGAGUAUUUCUUAAUUAAGCAUAAUCAACUUUUCUCAUAUAUUAACACACGGUAAAUCUCUAGAUAUUCUAACAUCUUCUCUACUUACUGAUAAGUCAAAUAGUAACGUGUAAAUGAAGAUGUAAAAUUACUAGUAGUUAGGUGUUUAAACUUCAAAGGGGCAAGAACUAACCCCACACUCCAUCAUCUUCUCUACUUUCUACUAUACUCUUUUAGAACCUUCUACUAUAAAUUAUGUGCUUCCAACCAAACAUCCACACUAACAUUUUACUAAAGAAAUGCAUACCAAAAAUCUUUUUCCUUCCUGCAUCUUACUUCUUCUUUUGUCCUCACUACUAUCUUCCAAUGUAAGUAACUCUUAUGCUCAUCUCUCUUUCAUUUUCUUGAACUAAUCUUUGACAUCUUUGUCAUAAAUAUUCCAACUCUCUGUCUCUCUCUAUAUAUAGACAUUUUAAAUUUAUUUAUUUUAUGCGAAGUUAUUUCAAUCAAACCAUACAACAUUAGAAUAUAUUUCCAUCAACUUUCUCAUGCUCAUUUUAGUCGAACCAACAAACCAAAGCACUGACACAUCGGCGCAUAAAAAAAGUACUCUCAUUGUCCUAUUUUAUGUGCCACUGUUUAAUUUGACAUAGUAUUUAUUUUCAAUUAUAGUAAAAUAACAUUCUUUUUGGAAUAAACUAAAAAGAAAAAGGUUACCACUUAUCAGAUAACUCUUCCAAUUUUUCUUAAUAAAAAACCGUUAAUCUCCUCUGCCUUUUGUUUUUUUUUUCUCUGAUGGGUUUAUAAACACUAUUUGUGCUAGUUUAAUCCUUUAUGAAUGACAAUUAUUGUAAAUUAAAAACUAAAGCAUAUAAAACCGACUCAAUUGGUUUGAUUUUCUUUUAGAGAAAUAGCGACCCAAAUCGAUCCGUUAUGUACUCAUGAAACGGUGCUAAUGCAGGUUGUUGUGGCUAAAGAUGGAGACAAAUCUGGUAACCCAUUUACACCAAAAGGUUAUCUGAUUAGAUACUGGAAUAAACAUGUCUCAAAUGACUUACCAAAGCCAUGGUUCCUUCUCAACAAGGCAUCUCCAUUGAGUGCUGCUCAAUAUGCAGCUUACACUAAACUUGUUGCUGAUCAAAAUGCACUCACCACACACCUCCAAUCCUUUUGCUCUUCAGCAAAUCUCAUGUGUGCACCAGAUUUGUCACCAAGUCUUGAAAAACACAAAGGAGAUGUCCAUUUUGUCUCUUACGGUGACAAGAACUUUACCAAUUACGGUACCAAGGAAUUCGGUCUCGGAUUCAACUCCUUCAAGAACUAUACAGAGGAUGAAAAUUUCCCUGUGAAUUCUUUCAGGCGCUACGGUAGAGAUUCUCCUCAUGAUAAUCAAUUUGACAACUACGGCCCUGGUGGCAAUACGCCUGUCCAAAGUUUCAACAGCUAUAGCACAAAUACUCCAGGGGGUUCUGGUCAAUUCACCAAUUACGCCCCGGGGGCCAAUGUCCCCGAUUUGCAUUUCACUUCCUAUUCCGACCACGGAACAGGAGGGGAACAACAAUUCAAAUCCUAUGGAAACGAUGGAAAUGCUGGUCAACAAACUUUCAAAAGCUAUGGCAAAGAUGGAAAUGGAGCUGAUAGUCAAUUCACCACCUAUGGAAACAACACUAAUGUUGAUGGCUCAGCAUUUACAAACUAUGGUCAGACAGCAAAUGGGGAGAACCAAAAUUUCACAUCUUAUGGUUUCAACGGCAAUAAUCCAGCAAGCAAUUUCAACAACUAUGGUGUUGGAGGUAAUGGUCCAUCCGAGACUUUUACCAGCUAUAGAGAUCAAUCAAAUGUUGGAGAUGACACGUUCACUACCUAUGUUAAGGAUGCAAAUGGCGGUGAAGCCAAUUUCACCAACUAUGGUCAAUCAUUCAAUGAAGGUACUGAUGUAUUCACUACUUACGGUAAAGGGGGUAAUGGACCCACAUAUUAAUUUCAAAACUUACGGAGUUAACAACACUUUCAAAGAUUAUGUCAAAGAUACUGCCACAUUUUCCAACUACCAAAACAAAACCUCCCAAGUUUUGGCUUCAUUGACCGGUGGCAAAAAGGUGAAUAACCGGUGGGUUGAGCCCGGAAAGUUUUUCAGGGAGAAGAUGUUGAAGAGUGGUACAAUCAUGCCUAUGCCAGAUAUUAAGGAUAAGAUGCCUAAAAGGUCCUUUUUGCCUCGGGUGAUUGCUUCGAAAUUGCCUUUUUCUACCUCAAAGAUUGAUGAGCUGAAGAAAAUUUUCCAUGCCGCCAAUGAUUCUCAGGUGGCAAAGAUGAUCGGCGAUGCUCUCAGUGAGUGUGAAAGAGCACCGAGUGCUGGCGAGACAAAACGAUGUGCUAACUCAGCUGAAGAUAUGAUUGAUUUCGCAACAUCAGUGUUGGGCGGAAAUGUGGUGGUUCGAACAACUGAGAAUACAAAAGGAUCAAAGGGGAAUAUCAUGAUAGGAGCAGUCAAAGGAAUCAACGGUGGAAAAGUUACAAAAUCAGUAUCAUGUCACCAGACCUUGUUCCCUUACUUACUGUAUUACUGUCAUUCGGUUCCUAAAGUCCGGGUCUAUGAAGCGGAUAUUUUGGACCCGAAUUCAAAGGCUAAGAUCAAUCACGGUGUUGCCAUUUGCCACGUGGAUACUUCUUUAUGGGGACCCAAGCACGGAGCCUUCAUUGCACUCG
rnacentral:lncRNA from 1 species